rnacentral:lncRNA from 1 species
GAACAGAAAAAAAAAUGUUAAAUACAUCUUCUUUCACAACUUUAUUGAACAUAUUUCUAAUUUCCUCGUCAAACCUCUUAUCAUCAAUAUCCCUUCUUCAUUUUCGUAUUUCUUCACCGAAACUUUUGCCUAUCUCUUCUUCAUCUUCGUAUUUCUUCACCGAAACUUUUGUCUAUCUCUUCUUCAUCUUCAUAUUUCUUCAUCGGAACUUUUCUCAUUAAUAUCUCUUUUUCAUCCUUGUAUUUAUCUAGAAACUUUUAGGUGCCCUUUGAUAUAUCAUGGCAAUAGUGACAAUUUUUUUCUCCCUAUAUUCUUAUUAAUCCUUUGAAAAGGAUUGUGUGCUUGAAAUCAAAGAAUUGUUAUUGUAUUUAUAGGUUAAAAAAAGGAAGAAAACGUUAGUGAUACAUUGAAUUAGGAGGUGGAGAGUUUGUAUUUACGUUGAAUUAGGAGAUGGAGAGUUUUUUUAUUAAUAUUUUAAAAGAAAUUUAUUUUUUUUUUUAAAUCAAAGAUCGGCCUUUUGGGAAAGUCAAAGACCCAAGCCCAAUUACUCUAACAAAAGUAGGAAAGUCAAAGACUUUCUAAUCCUAAAGACAAAAUAGGAAAAGUGGAAAGUGUACUGCUCUUCUUCUUCUUCACAUCUCCGUUCGAUUUGUUUAUUGUUCCGAUGUCAUCUACUCUCGCAUCUAAUCAGGUAAUUUCCAUCAUUUCUGAGUUAUCUUCUUGUUCCUCCUUGUAGUUCAAUCUUGAGUUUCAAACAAUAAAAACUUAAAAUACGCUGCUUUGAACCAAAUACAACUCAAGUCACCUUAAACUCUCACCAGGUGCUGUGUAUUCAAGUUCAAUUGAAAUUAUAUCCAAGCUGUGCUUAUUAUUUUUUGGUUGUUUGAGCUCAGAUCCGUUAAUGGCCAAUUUAUUCUAAGGUACUGCACUCAUAACUUCACCUAUUAUCUUGAAGGGAAUGAACUCCAUUUGGGGUUGAUACCACCCUAUCAGAUUCUAGAUGCAUUAUUUAUGUGUACCUUUUUUCCUCCAUAUCUUGUUGUGCAUUUGUUGUAUUUCUUGUAUCUACUGCAUUACUUUUCACUGAGUGAAUCUCUCCUUAAAUGCGAAGUAAGGUGUAUUAAUUUUUUAAAAGAAAUGAAAUAAAUAAGGUGUAUUAAUUUUUUCAACUGUUUUUUUAGACAUUUAUAUGUGAGAAAAAAGUCAAAAUAUUGAGAAAAAUAUAAUAAAUAUAAUGUUUUGAGCAAUGUAAAUAGUAUUUCAUAGUAAAGGUGCAAUGAACACAAAAAGGUAAAUUAUCUAUUAUUUUUUCAAACUAAAUAAGUGUUGUUGGAUAUCUAUAUUUGAUAUAAUAAUGGACAAAUAAAGAUGAACAAUGGGGAAUAGUAAUCUUAUCUUUAAUAUAUAUCUAUCUAUUCUAUAAUAUAUUAAAAGUAUGAAAACCCUUAAAAAAAUGAUUUGAACAUUUUACCUCUCAUUAAAAAAAUUUGCAAUAGACAAAAUUGUCUUUUCACUUAUUUCUUUUAAUUAUAUUUAAAAUUAAGGAGACCUAAAAUUGGUAAGACAAAAUUACAUGGAGAUUUAAUGUUGGUAAAUUUUCUUUUCCCUUAUGUACAUAAAAAAGAGUCUUAAAAAAUAUAAGAAGAAGAAGAAAAAUAUGUCGAGGUUUUCAUCAAAAUUGAAAAAUAGGAACAACAUUCAAUAACAAUUUUAUUUCUUAAAAAUUAAUAUAAGGAAAAAAAAUUAUGAGUCAUUCGGCAUUUGAAAUAAAAAUUAAUAUAAGGAAAAAAUAAUUAUGAGUCAUUUGGCAUUUUUUAUUCUCCAAGUUUCUAUCAAAAUUAGGUUGCUAAUAUUAAAGAAAAAGAAAAGGUCAAGGAACACAAAUAACUAACAAGAGAACGUUAUUAUUUCAAAAGAACUAAAAGCGUGAACUUUUUUGGGUAAUUUAAUUUAGAUAAAAUAAUUAUAAUAUUUGAAACUUUUAAACUAAUUAGAUUUUGUACUAUAUACAAAAUUUCUACAAUGUUGUUUAAGUAACAUACGUUAUUUUUACCUCUAUGUUUUCUUCUUAUGUUGAAUUUGAUCUGAUUUAAGUUGUGUUUUUGUAUUUAUUAUCACCCCCUUUUUAUUAUUUUUGUUUAGUUGAUAAAUUUGAAGAUUAUAUAUAAAUUAUUCGUACUCAAUAAUAUGUAUUCUUCAUUUUGAUAAUUUCUUUUGUUUUCUCUUAUAGCUGAAGAUGCUGAUGAAUAAAUUGGAUGAAACAAACAUGUUGUUGUUGAAUGAAGUAGUCAGAAAAUCAAAGGUUAAGACCUUUUCUUUUUUUUCUUUGUUUAAAUUAAAGUUCUAUGAUCUUUCAGACCCCAAGUUUUAUAGUAUAUAUAUCGUGAUUUAUAAAUUUAAAUUCAUCUGUUAAACGGUUACCACAGAAUGAGAAUUUGGAGUUAAAAAUAUGCCUAGAGAUUUUUAAAAAUUUUGGUCUAAAAAAUUUUAUGUUCGUUUUGUUAGAGAUACAUAAUCUCUGAACUCCACAGAUUAACAAAUAACGUCUAAUGAAGUAGAUGAAAAGAUUAAAGGCUUAUUUCGUCAGUACGAAAAUAGUGACUCUUAUAUGUUACGGAAGUUUUACUCCUUUUAAAGAUAUUGAUAAUUGUUGUUGAUUCAAUUAUUCUUUUUCUCUUUAAAAAGCUAUAUAAGAGAUCUUUAAGUUUCUUCCUAUCUUUUGUGACAAGAAAGUGAAAAAAUUAAAAGGCAUGUUGUAAAUAUAUUAGAACACAUGAAUGUGGAGAGACCACAUAAACUGUGAGUGUACUUCAGAUCAUAAGUACAACAUGACCACAUUCAGUAAAAAAGAAAAUUAAUGGAAGAAAGUGGAGAAACCCGAAUAUGUACACAUUGAAUUUUUACUUACAUGAAGCAAUAUUAUUUUAGAAAAACAUUGACAGUUUAUUUCUGUGGGUAGAGGUUGAAAAACAUUGACACUUUAUUUCUCUUGGUAGAGGUUGAAUAAUUAAAUUUAAACUCGUCUAAGUUUUAACGUAUGAUUUUUUUUUUAUAUAUAUUGAACUUUCUUUUAGCAUUAUCCUUGAGUUUAAAUUUUAAUGUGUAGAGCAAAAAAGGAAAAAUAUAUAAUUAUAUUGUUCACAUUAACCAUUAGAAUAUAUUCAUGUCUGAUCUCAUGCAUGUUCCGAAUUCGAAUUAGUCAGAUUUCAAUGUAGAUUCCGAACAUCAAAUUUCAUACACUUAUAAUAUUUACGUUAAUAAUAUUGUCAUGACAUACACGUGCAAUAUACAUACACUAAACUAGUUUAUUUGAAAUAGCGCAAAACCUAUUUUACCUAAAAAUUAAAAAAUUUAGUUCUAAGUAAAUUUCGCGACGAAUCUUAUGUAGAUGUUAAUCAAAUAGACUAACAAAUAUCAAAUCCUAAAAUAUUUUGAUUUUCUAUUCCAACUUUAAAUUGGUACUCUUUUUUGACAUACCAUCAAAGUAUUUCAUUUGAUUCAUGGAUUGAAAUCACUUGUCAAAAAUUAAGUCUGUCACAGUAGUCUGAACUCAGGAAAGAAUGGGCAAAUCUAAAAGAGAUCAACAUACAGAAUUACAAAUCAAUAGUCUUUUCUCUUAUCAUGUAUAUAUAUUAAAAAAUUCAUUAAACACGUGUAUAUAAAUAUUUUAUUGGUGAAUCUUAACCGGAGUUUAUGAAAAUUAGUAAACUUUGAAUCUUGAUUCUGCCUUAUAGCUAGCGAAAAAGCUGGAUCCAAUCCAUUAGAAGCCUUUAUAAUUUGCUAGCUGGUGAUGAUUAAUGAACUACAAAUUGCUAAUUUAUUCACAGAAUGAAUUUAAAAAAAAAAUGAAUGAAGGAACAAACAUCAAGUAUUAUUAACACACACCAACAAGGCUUGUUAAUGCUUCAUAACUUCAAUAUACACCGAAAAAAAAAAAAAGGAUGAUAAAACUAAUUCCAAUCUUAACAUUAGUACUAAUAUUUUUGGGUAUUAGGCUUAUGACACUUGUCUUUUAUCCACUGAAAACCAGCAGUAGCACCUGAUUUUACCUUUUUAACCCCAGUUGAUGCCACAGAUUUAGUUUUCCCUAAAGUAUCUCCAACUUUACUGGAAAUCUUGGAUGAAGCAUUAUUAUCAUUUCCAGUUUUCUUGUCAAAACUUGUGUACUCAUAACUUGCUGGUUGUGGAUCCCAUUGAUCUGCCCAUGAUGUCUCGUUCAAAUUGUACGCCGGGUAGUUGUUCUUCCCCGCCAUGUAGUAAAAAAGAAAAAUAUAGAGAUGAAGAUUGAACAAAACAGAAGGUAUAUGAUUUAUUUAUAGCUAGGUUGAAUAUUAUUAAACCUAUGUUGGUUUGGAAUGUAAUAUGGAGAAAUAAUUAAGAUCUGGGAAGUUUGAUCCCAUUUAUAGAUGAAAUAGAUGCAUUAUGUGUAUGUGGAUGGUUGGCGUGUUUGGACAAAACGUGUGGGGGAUUAUUAACUUUUGACUUUGAAUUUUUUCUUUUUUGAGUUGGCCUGGGAAAAAAAUUAAAGAAGCUUCUUUGAAUGGGAGAAUUUUAUUCUACGCUAGUGAAAUAGUUCGCGCUUUGCGCAAUUUGGAAUAUCUUAUGCUCUAUAUAUUUUUUUAAAAAUGUAAGUUAUUUUUAAUACAUAAAUUUAUAUAUACUAAGGUUGGAGUUUUAACAUGUUUUUUCUAAUUAACACUUUCUUUUCGUCCAAUAGAGAGUGAAUGAUAUUAUACUUUUUAUAAGAAAAGUUUGAUCUCCCUUUCGCCCAAACGAAAAUAUUUUUCAUUUUUUCUGAGUUAAUUAAUUCAAAGAUAUUUUUUUAAAAUUAUUUUUGUCAAUUGAUGGUGUACAAUGAAAAAAAGAAUCAUAGUAAAUUUGAAAGAUUGAGAUAAAAUUGGAAAACAAAACGUAAGAGAAAGAAAGAAUAUUCAUUAAGAACCCUCUUAGAUUGGGAGUGGAUUUUGAAAAAUAAUGAAUAUAAUUAACUAUAUUCCCAUACCGUUACAACUUAAAAAUAAACUAAGCAAUUAAUGUUAAAUAAAAAAAAUACUCCACUAAUAAGCUAGGAUAUUCAUUUCUAGAGUAAUAAUUUUUCUACCUAUAACUCAUUCAAUAAUAUUAUUGGGUUGUCUUUAUUUUUAUGGUAGAAAAGAGAAGAAAAUACUUUGUCCCAUAUUAAUUGAUUUUUUUACUACACAUUUUUUAAAAUUUUAAAUAGGAAGGUAAUUUUACUAAUUCUCCCUUUUAAAAAUUAUUUUGCAAACUUUACAAAUAAGUGUGAACACUUAUAAAAAAAAUUAAUUGUAAGAUAAUAGAGUAUGAAAAAAUUAUUAAUACUUUCUUGAUUUAAUAAAGUGACCAACUAAUAUGAAUAACUAUUUUUAGUACAAUAACGAACUAAUAUGGCACAUAUGAAAUACUCAUGGUCUCCUUUUGUUUUCCUUCGUUCCAUCUUGAUACUUUUUGCAUGGUUCCUUUGUUAUAGUCAAAUAAUAUAAAUUUUGAUCAAUAUUUUAAGAUGUAUUUUUUAAUCAAAUUAAAAAACGACAAUUGCAAUAUAGAGUACUUUUCAUAUAAUUUUUGAAUAUUCAAAUUUUAAUUUAAAAAAUGUAGAUUAAUCUAAUCAAAUUUAGCUUUAAAAAUUAGUUAAAUUAACUCAAAAAACGAAGCAUGUACUUAAAAAAAUGGAGGGAGUAUAUCAAUUUGUAAUCCUCAUUAUAAUAUCAAUAAGAGCAGAAUUCUAAUUUAUUAAUUCUUUCACAGUGAAUCUUAUCACCUCCUUGGAUACUAAAUAUGGCUUUGAGAUAUGAUCAUUAUAAACUCCUUCAAAUCAAAUUUGUAUUUGUUUUCCAAUUCUGUCACAUAAGCCAUAAGUCGCAUUUUCAUUAAUAUUGUAUAUCAGCAUACUAAUUUUGGAGUGAUAUUCUCACAAAAAAAUCUUCUAACAAAUGCUAAUUAGUAUUACUAAAGAAAACUGAAACUUCAAAUUAAAAGAUUAUGAAAGUAUAUAUCAUGCAAUUUCAUGAUCAAGAAUGCAAGUAGAAGGAACCCUCAAGAUUAUUCAAGAGUAAUAUCGAAAUUUCAUAGUAUGCUCAAAAAUAUUUUUAAAUAAUCCGCAUAAAAUAACAUAAGCUACAAAUUUAAUAUAUAAACUUAAUUAGAAAAUGAUUAGAAAGCUAUUAUACAGUUUUUUAAUCCACUUUGUUACUCUGAUUUUCAAAAUAAUCAACAUCGAUUUCUUCUUAUAUAACAUCAUAUGGGGAAGAAAAGAAAGUUAGGAAAAAAAGAUUAAGAUAAAAUAAAAAAUAAAGACAACAACUACCUACAGUUCGAUUUUAUGCAUUUUCUUUUUAAAUAAAAGCACUCAAUUUGAGUUCUGCUCCCUUCCCCUCGAUCCUCUUCAUUUUAUGAAUCCAUAAUAUUAUCACAACGAUGACAAAUUUAUUUCAUAAUUAGGGAUGCUACGAAAGAAUAAAAAAAUUGAUUAAGAAAAAAGCUUCAAAUCAUUAAAUUUUCAUUAAAGAAAAUAAAAAUAAUAAUAAACAAAUACAGAACAACUAUCCAACUAAAUAAAAAAUUUGAUAAAAAAUAUAAAUUUGUUUAAUUUUUUCAUGAUAAUAUUUUAUAUUUCUACUUCUUUCACCUCUUUACUAUGCUUAUCUUCUUCUUCAAUCAUCAACCUAACUAAAUAUCACAUCAAAAUCGCUAAAAUAAUAAUUUAUUAAUAUUAAUGUAUAAAUAGAAUCCUGAAGAAUAUAUAUCUUAAUAUUAAUGAAAAAUAAUCAAUAUUUAGACUAUUUAAUUUAAAGGAAUGAGGAAGGAAAAACAAGAGAAAAUAGAUAAACUGUCAUUGAGAUAUGCCACAUUAAUUUCUCAUUGAUUUAAAAAAAUAUUUUGCACAAUAUGAUACUCCGUACAAAAAAUACUACUUUGGUAUGAAUAAUUCUACAGUUUCAAUCUCUUUUUUUUAUGCUGCAUCAUUCCAGUCUGCGUCUCCUUCUAUUCCUGCUUAGAAAAUCUACAAAUUACAAACUGUAAUAAAAAAAAAAAAGCAAAUAUGUCAUAGAGAUAAAAUACUUAUAACUUCUUAUUACUAUUAAAUACAUUAGUCAUUUUUAUCUUUUUAUCGUUCAUUUCUAUAAUUAAAAUCAGAUAUAUAUGGAGCAUAAGUUUAAGCAAGAAUCUGAUGAUGAAGAAGAGAAAAACCACUAUAUUGCAAUAACACAACAUUCUGUCAAAAUUGAGAGCAAAAUUUAUGUAUAGAUAUACAGUAAAAAUAAAAACAUGAACCAAUUAUAUAGCACAAUAACAACAAAAGAAAAGAAAAUUAGAGACACAAUAAGAAAAAAAAAUUAAUAAGUGAAGAUGAAAAAUAUGAUUUGGUAGUCACCCAUUAGUAUUGGUACUUAAAGAAGAUUUAAUGUUGAUUAAUAAGAAUAUAAAAAGGAGAAAAUAGUCAAAUGCCCCCCCCCCCCCAACCUUACCUUAAAUCCCAACUACACACUUAUAAUUUGCGGGCGUCCUAUGACCCCCCUAAAAUAUUUUAAAAUAGAAUUAUUACCUCCCUGAACGUUGACAUGGAAAGAGAGUGUGUUUCACUCUCUUUAAAAAGAGUGAGAACGAGUUUUUUUAUUAAAAAGUUAUUUUUAAUAUUUCUUUACUCUUUUCUUUAUUUAUUUUUAACUAUUAUUCUUCUUUAUUUAUUUAUUUUCUUCUUGUUCUUCUUCUUCUUGAACUCAGCAAUGACAUCUUCAAGAACUCAACAAUGGCAUCCAAUCCAAAACUAGAUUAUCAUCUCCUCCAAUAUAAAUCACAGUAAACGGCCAAACUACACCAACUACCAUUUCAUCCAAACUAACAAUCACCUCCCUAAAAGCUCCAUUCCUCGGAACACUAAGAUUAUUCAAACUUACAUACUCAUUAACCGAAUUACCAUACCAAGAAUCAUCGUUCUCAUGAAAUGAAACAUAAACUUCCUACGAUGCUCUAUACACAUUUUGUGGAAUCUUGAAAUCUUUUAACUUUACAUUGAUUGAAUUUUCAAUCUCAAACCAUAAAUCAUCAUUCAAAUCCACAUUUCUUGAAAUUGAAACAAUCAAAUCAACACCAUAAUCAAAAUCAACACCAAUUUUUUUUACAAUCAUAAAGUCAACAUCAAUUUUCAUAGUUGAGAAAUUUAAAAAAAAAAAAAAAAGAAACAAGAUUGAAAACCGAUAUUGCUGCUCGGCAUUGUAUCAAACAUUUGUUGAGCAUAAUCUAACAUCCCAUUUCUUACAUACCCAGAAAUCAUACAGUUCCUACAUUCUUUUUGGGGCAUUUCAUCGAACAAUUUGCGUGCUUCCCCAACAUCAUCUUUCUUGAAAAAACUAGUAAUUCUUAAGUUCCAAUUGAACAACGAGUUUGCAAUUGAACUCACAUAAUGAAUACAGAAAUGAAAAAAUUUGUUCCUGAAGCAAAUGUGUGAAGUCGUGCAAAUUUUCAUUCUUGAAGCAAAUUUUUUUUCUAAACUUUGAGUUUAAUAGUCGAUUUUGAAUUUACUAUUUAACAAAGGUUUGAGAUUUAACAAAGGUUUGAGAUUGAAGAAAAUCAAAUGAAGAGAAAGGAAAAAAAAAAGGAACAAAAGAAUGGAGAAUCAUUAUUGUGGAAGAACAUGAAAUAAAUAGAAAAAAGUAAUGAAAUUGAAAAGAAAUUAAAAAAGAAUACAAAGAAAAAAAUAUAAUAAAUAAAAGUAAUUAAUUUUUUAUAUUAAAAAAAGUAAUAUUACAUGGCAUGACGUGGCAACGAGUGCAGCUCACUGCCUAAAACAAUGUCUGCAUGUCAGAUUUCGGGGGUGUAAAUAUCCCACUUUAAAAUAGUUCGGGGGGGGGGGGCAUAGAACCCCCGUAAAAAAUAAGUGUGUAGUUGGGAUUUGGGGUAAAAGUUGGAGGGGCUUUUGACCAUUUUGUCUAUAAAAAGAUGUAGGAGGGGCAAAAGUUGUAACUCACUUGAAAUCAUAAUGUUAAUUGAAUGUAUAAAUUAAAGACAUGAUUUUGUAAAAUAAAUUAAUUGAAAAAAAAUGAGAAAAAAUAUCCAAAAAAAUGAGAAAAAAGAAAAAUGUAAAAGAAGGCCAUAGAGAGGUUCCACAUAGGCAUAUCUCUAAUCCUCCUUUAUAUAUAUACUACUGAAUUUGUCUGCGCUUCAUGCGGUUAUUACAGAUUUCUAUCAAAAUCAUACAUUAUUAUUUUGAACCAAAAUAAUUAUAAAACUACAAUAAUCAGAAAUUCAUAUAAAAUACAAAAUAAAGAGAAAUCAUAUAGAGAACAUGCAAAAUAAAAAGAUGGUAAAUGCACCGAAAAGAUAACAAUAAAAAUGGUAAAUGCAUUUUUAUAAUAAAUUAACAUUUGAAUUUAGUAGCUUUUCUUUCAAAAAUAAUAAUAAUAAAAGAGUUACUCCUUGAAUUCAAACUACAGAAACAAUAGAACAUGUCUUAAUUAUCCAUCAUAAAGAGCAAAUUAACAUAAGAAAGUAAACGGAACAUGUAUAAAGAACAAAUUAAUAGAAAAGGUGAAGAGAAACAUUAUUCAUGAAAUUUAUGAUAAAUUAAUAUUCCUCAAGAAUCAAGCUUAAUUCUACAAAUAAAAACUAAAUUGGCUAUUAGAAUCAAGCAUUCAAAAAUUAGAAGAAGGGUCUAAUAUUCAUAAUUAGUAUUUGAUCUAUAUGAAUAUUUUUCUUCAAUUUAUAAAAUAUCAUCACUAAAAAAAUUUUAAACGAUAAAAAAAAAAAUGUAUUUAAAAUUUUAUGAUGCAUUCUUACAAACUUUCAGCUACUAACACGCACAAGAAAAAUAAAGUAUAUUUGUUUACCUUGAUAAUUGCUUUUAGAGUGAUAAAGAAGCAUAAAUCUGUAAACAAAAAAUAAUAUUAGAAGAAAAUUACAACCAAUAUUGACCAAUGCUUAAUUCUGAAAAGUGCAUUGAGAAAUGCUUAUUCAAAUGUUUAAAUUUAUACAACUUAUAUUUGGAAUAUCAAAAGGCAUGAGAAGACAGAGUAACAUUAAGGAUAUGAAUGGAUAAUAAUAAUAAUAAUAAGUCAUAAUUGUCAUGUUUAAUUCUCUUUAAAAUUUAGUUAAAAUGGGAGUUUCAACUUUUAGAUGAUUUUUUAGUUUUUAACAUAUUAUAUAAAUUAAAAAGAAUAAUAAAAAGCUCAAAAAUUGAGAAAAAGAUAUAUAUAUAUAUAUAUAUAUAGAGAGAGAGAGAGAGAGAGAUAGAUAGAUAGAGAGAGAGAGAGAGAGAGAGAGAUUGUCAUAAAAGUAUUUUUAAAUCCGAAAAGUGGGAUGAAUUAUUUUUUUCAAGAGGAAGAAUAGAUAAAUUAAAUAAUAAAAAGUGUGAUAAAUAAGGUGAGGAAGUGGAAGAGUUUAAUAGCAUGAGAUAAUAAUCAUGUUGUAUAUUAAACACAUUGUAUUUAAUUUCUAAUAAUAUAGACAUUAAUGGAUGGUUUUUUAUUAAUUUUAAAUAAUUUAUUAAGCUAAAAAUAGGAGAAAAUAAUUCAAAAAAACCACAAAAUAGAUAAAUGGCAUUAAAGGCCUCUAAGGCAUGCCACAUGGGAUUGACUAUUGAUCUCUUUUAUAUAUAUAUAUAUAUAUUGAUUGAUUGGUUGAGAUUAAGGUAUAGAAAUAUAAGAAUAAAAUUGUCAUUACACUUUUUAAUUUGUAGAAUUACUUUUUCAUAUUAUUUAUUCUUUUUACUCUGAUUUUAAAUAAAAAGGUUUAAAUGUCUUAUUUAAUUUGAGUUUUUCAGAUUCAAAACGGCCGAGUUUCAUUGUCUUUGGGUUUCAUACACAAUAUAUUAACUAAAAAUUAUACAAAUACACAACUUAUGUUUUCAAUAUUACAAAAAAUUUCAACUCCCUAAACAUAUUACAAAAAUCCCAACAUAUAUACACAGAAUGUUAUUUAUAUGUCGGUUAUGUUAUGUAUAUUAAUAGGGAGAGAGAGUAAAGUAAUUAAAACGAUGGGAGAAAAUGUUAUUACUUCCAAAAGGGUUGGUAUUUAUGUUAUUUAAACAUAUAUUAAAGUUUAAAGUCAAGUUUUUUCGAAAUAUUUCACGUCCCUCGUGUAUAUUAAUACAAAGAAUAUUUUUCAACUACUAGAAAAAUUAGAAAAUUUAUACUUUAUUAAAGUAACUAAUUUAGGUAUACGCGCCUCGCGCAUGUACAUCACUUUAUUGAGUUCAAACAUUACACUAAAUAGGAUAUAUUAAAUAAUAAAAAUAAAUACAGUAAUUAAAUUCAACAUCUUUUGGAGAAUUUAUUUGAUUAAACUUAAUCUUUACCAAAAAAAGUUCUCAAAGUCGAUCGACAUUCAUCUAACACCUAUAAAUUGCAACAGAACAAUAUGAUGAUAGAGACAUCAAAAUAAUAUAAUUAAAUCUAACCUUUACACAAGAAUUUUUGCAAAGCCAUCCGACACACAUCUACCACCUAUAAACUAUAACAAAAUAAUAUAACAAUAGAGAUAUUAAAAUAAUACAACUAAACUUUACCUUUACACCAAAAAAAAUCUCAAAAAAGAAAUAUAAGAAUAAUACAAUUAAACCUAACCUUUACUAAAAAAAAUUUCUUAAAGCCGACCGACAUUCAUCUAGCACCUGGAAAUUCAUCUACAACCUAUAAACUACAACAAAAUAAUAAAAUAGUGAUCACAAAGCCUUAAUUUUGAUGAAAAUAACUUUUGUCUGAGCAAAAACUUUGGCACUAAAGAAUGACUUAAAUGAAAACAAAGAAGAUAUUUAUACACACACACAUUGAAUUCUAUUACGUAAACAAAUAUAGAAAGAAGUUGGGGGUUAGAAAAUUAAGCAUCCAUCAAUCUAGACCAAAGCAAGUUAGAUAAGUAUCAAUAAUAUUUUUUCAAUAAAUAAUUAUAAACUCAAAUUUUCCUUUUUAACUCUCAACUUAUCUUUUGCUCCUUUUCUUAAGGUUGAAUUUUCCGAAAUUUAAAGGGUAACCCCCAUUUCUUAUACGAUUAUUUUUUGACGUUUUUCUUUCACAUGGCAACCCACCCCAACCCCCUUCAAAUUAUGGUAAUUCUUAUUUUUAGGUAUAAUAUUUACAUUAAUUUAUAAAAGUAUUUUCUUAAUAGAGUCCUAUGUUAAGAGUAAUUUUCUAUCCUAUUUUAGAAGUAUUUUUCUAAUUGAGCAGUACAAAGAAAAAUAUUAAUUAAUUCUACUUCCAUAUAUUUUAGGAGUCCCAUAUAUUUUAGAAAUCUAGUUAAUAUAAUAAAAAUAGUUAAAUAAUAAAUUGAAGAAAAUAGUGAAAAGACAAUUUUGUCUAAAAGAUGUGUUUUAAUGAAGAACAAAAAGUUCAAAUCACUUUUCUAAGGGUCUUCACAUUUUUAAUAUACUGGUUUAGGUGUACACGUCUCGCGCGUGUUCCUCACUUGAUGAGUUCAAUUUUAUAAAUAAUUGGAGAUACAAAGCAUGAUUGUUAUCAUAUAAUUAUUAACAAUUUGAUUAUUGAUGCUAAUAGUAAUAAAAAUAAGGAGAAAAUGUUAGCUUAGCUAUCUAACAAACCUUCUACCCUAAACUGAGUUUUUCAUAAUCUCCUAUCAAAGUUCAUGUUUUCGAUAAGCUGAAAUUGUGUGAUAUUCAUUCCAACCAUUCUAUAGAACAUAUACAUAAUCUUUAAAAUUAUUAACUAAAAGAAAUAAAGAAAGAUAAAAACAGUGAUAAUAAUCAAUGCAAGAAAACGACUUGAAUUAAAAAGCAAAAUAAGAAUAAAAAUAGAAGUGGCAGAAGAAGAAGAAAAUUAAAGUAGAUGAAGCGUUCAUAUAUUAAAGCUUGAUUCAAAAUAUUAAAUAUAAUUGUAGAAAUUCUUAUUUUAUAUGGUAAAUUUUGAUUGAUUUUUAUCCCUUCUAGAAAGCAGUCCUUCCUCAGACUCUACGUGCACACGAGGGGCUGCCCCUCUUAUGCAAAAGGUCCAUUGCAAUGGUUAUACGGAAUUGGUACAUUAAGCAAGUGAAGAGUUACCUUAUUUUGCAUUCGAACAAAUGAUUUAAAAAAUAAUACUAUUCCAGGAAUAAAUAGAAACUUCAUUAAGAAUAAAUGUUGUGCGACUAAAACUACGACCAACAUAUACAUGCUUAUAGACUCUCAGUAAAAGCUACGACAUUAUAAAAAACAUGAUUCAUAAAUUAAAAAAAAAAAUAAUCUUCUAUCCUAAUGCAUGACCUCUCUAUGCCCUCAUAUAUAAUGCACAUGUAUAAAAGAAAGCACAAAGUUAUGAAAAUAAAUAUAACACGGAUGUGCAACAAUAUUAGAAUUACACUACGCAUAAAAUCUAUGACAUUAUGAAAAACUUAAUUCAUAAAUUUAAAAAAUUUAACCUUUUAUCUUAAUUUGCAACUUCUACACCCAUCUAAUGCACAUACAUAUAUAAAAAAGAAUCACAAAUCCUACCUCAAAUAGCAUGAAACUAUUGGAUAUGAAACAAAUAAAAAACCAGCUAAUAUUACUUGGUAAUUCUCAUUCAGAAAAUUAUAGAAGUUAAAAAAGAAGUAAUAAAAAUAUGAAGAGGAGGAAGAAGCACAAACAAAAAGCAAGGAGUUUUGUUUCGUCUAAAUAACAUGUACAAACCAAAUAUAUUCAAAAUAAUUUUAUCAUAUAUAGGAUUUGAGUUUGUUAUUUGGUCCUAAAUUAUUAUUAUUAUAGUAGUUUAGUUAUAGAAGGAAUUAAUUUGGAUCCGUAAUUUAAUUUUUAUAUUCUUAAUAUUGACACAUAAAAAUUUUAUUAUAUUUGAUCCUAUAUGUUACUAUUAUACAACAAAUUUUGUGCUUGAUUAAUUUUUUUUUAAAACACUACCAUAUUUUUCUUUUUUCCUUGCUAUUUUAGAAAAAUAAAUUUGAGUUACCAUAGAUUAUUUUUUCCUGUAGGAACCUUAUGCUAAUCUUAUUUUUUAAUCAAACAAAUAAUUAAUUAAUAAUUUAAAAAAAUAUAAAAGAUGAUUUUGUCUAUUGCAGAUGUUUUAAUGAAAGGCAAAAAGUUCAAAUCACCUUUUUUUAAGGGUUUUCACACUUUUAAUAUAUUAUAGAUUAUAGAUACUAGUCAUAAGAAGCCCAUGCAAAGCACGAGCUCAACAGCUAUCCUAAAUUAAUUUUAUAACAAUAAUCAUAUUAAUUAAUGUGACAACUUUUGAAUUUUGAAAUUUAAAUAAAUUUAUUUUUCAAAAUAAUUUUUGCAUAUAUUAUUAAAAUAUUUAAAAUUAUCAAUUAUUCUGAUUUAUUAUUCAAAUAUAUACUUUUAUUUCAAAUUUUUAAUUCAUGAUCAAAAUUAAACUCUACAAAUGUAUAAAUUAGUAAAGAGUGUGAAAAAUAAAAUUUGAUGGACCUAUAUUACUGUUUUUCAGAUAAUACGGGCUCAAUAUAUGUUAUUUUUUUGUUUCGGUUUAUGCGAUACAAAUAGAAUUUAAAUAAUCAAUCAUACUUUUAGUAUGUUUUUAGAUAUUUUAAGAUAUUAAAUAUUAUAAUUUAUAAUUUUUGUUAUGUGGUUUUCAAAUAAUAUGCAUUACUCUCCCCGUUCAAACUUUUGUGCGUUGAUAGUCAAUUAUAUUUUAAAAAUAAUUUAAUUUUUUUAAUUAUUGUGAUUUAUAAUACUUUUCUUAUAUUUCAAUUCAAGUGACAUUGAUAUAAUUUUGAGAGUCAAUCAAAUAUUUUAUAUCUUUUAAAUUUUUUAAGUUGUUAAUUAUUGUGAUUUAUAAUAUUUUUACGUAUUUUUUAAAAUAUAUAAAAAAUUAAUUUUUUUUUAGUAUUUUAAACUGUUAACUAUUGUAAUUUAUGAUACUUUUUAUGUAAUUUUCAAAUAAUAUAUGUUAUUCUCCUUGUCCAAACUUUUGUGACAUUAAUAAUCAAUUAUAUUUUUUAAAUAAUUUAAGUUUUAAAUUAUUGUAAUUUAUAAUAUUUUUUCUUCUAUUUCAAUUUAAGUGGCAUAAUGCUUAGAUGACCAUAAUAAUUAAUUAGGUGUGAUAUAGUAAAAUCACAAUUAAAGCAGCGAAGCAGACAUGUCUUAAAUGACUCACAAUAACUAAUUAGACUUAACAUAACAAAAUUAUUAUAAAAAUAUCUUGUGAAAUUUUUUUAAGUGGACCUUAUAUAAGAUGUCGAAUUAAUUUAAAACAUAUUUAUUUUACCUUUUUUAUUUAAUAUUUUUUUUAAUAUUUAGAUGACUUAUAAUAAUUAAUUAAGGUUUAUUACCAAAAAAAAUUAAUUAGGGUUGAUAUUUAGUAAAAUUAGAAGUAGCUGAAGCAAACAUGUCAUUAAUGUCUAUUUUAUUUUUUAUUGAAUAUUAUUAAUUUUUUAAUAAAUAACUUAUAAUAAUUAAUUAAGGGUGAUAUAGUAAAAUUACGGAGCAAAAAAUAAAAGCAGGCAGCUCAGGCAGGCAUGUUGACGGUCAGCUACCUGCUGCUCUUUCCUUUCCCUUUGAUUAGAUAACUAGUUUAGGUGUACGCGCCUUGUGCGUGUACCUCACUUUAAUGAGUUAAAAUAUUAUAUUACAUAGGAUAUUUAUUUAAAUAAUAAAUAUGAAAAUAAUAAUUAAAUUUAAUAUCUUUUGAAUAUGUAAAUAUGAAGAAUUUAUUUAUUAAAUUUAAUAUUUACCAAAAAUAUUUUUAAAAGUUGAUCGACAAUCAUCUACCAUCUGUAAAUUGCAACAAAACAAUACAAUGAUAGAGACAUCAAAAUAAUACAAUUAAAUCUAAUCUUUACGCAUAAAAUUUUUCUCAAAGUCGUCCGACACUCAUCUACCACUUUUAAACAAUAACAAAAUAAUACAAUAAUAGAGAUAUCAAAAUAAUACAACUAAACCUAACUUUUACAUUUAAAAAAUCCUCAAAGCCGACCAACAUUUAUCUAUUACCUGUAAACUGCAACAAAAUAACACUUAAAAGUGAUAUCAAAACAAUACAAUUAAACUUAAAUUUUACACACAAAAAUUUCUCAAAGCCGAUCGAGAUUGAUCUACGAACUCUAAACUACCACAAAAUAACAAACUAAAAAGAGAUAUUACGAUAAUAUAAUUAAACCUAACCUUUACCUAAAAAAAAUUUCAAAGCCAACCCACAUUCAUCUAGCAUCUGUAAAUUAAAAUAAAAUAAUAAGAUAAUAAAGAUAUCAAAAUAAUACAAUUAGACCUAACUUUUACGCAAGAAAUUCGUCAAAGCCAACCGACAUUCAUCUACGACAUGUAAACUAUAAAAAAAAUAUAAUAGUGAUCACAAAACUUCAAUUUUGAUCCAACUAAUUCUUGUCUGAGCGAAAAUUUUGACCCUAAAAAAUGAUUUUUAAUGAAAAUAAAGAAGAUUUAUAUAUACACACAUGUUGAAUUCUAUUAUGCCGACAAAAAUAGUGAAGAAGCUGAGGGUUAAAAAAUCAAGCAUCCACCAAUCUCGACAUGCAAUCGAAUCAAGUUAGUGAGCAUCAAUCAUAUUCUCUUAAUAGGCAAACCAGUUUGUUCUCUAGUUUAACGUAUAUCUCAAUAUUUAUAGAAGUAUUUCCUUAAUAGAGUCUUAUUUUAGGAAUAUUUUUCUAAUUGAACAGUAGAAAGAAAAAUAUUAAUUAAUUCUCCUACCAUAUAUUUUAGGAGUCCCAUAUAUUUUAGAAAGUCAAGUUAAUAUAAUAAAAAAAUUAAAUAAUAAAUUAAAAAAUAGUAAAAAGACAGUUUUGUCUAAAGAAGAGUAUUUUAAUGAAGGGAUAAAAAUUUUAAAUCACUCUUUUAAGGAUCUUCAUACUUUUAAUAUAUUAGAAAUAUAUUAUAGAUAUAGAUUAUAGAUUAUACAUAUUGAUAUAAAUUAUAGAUUAUAGAUUAUAUAUUACUAUAUAUAAUAAAAUAAAGUGAAAGUCUAACAACUUAUAAAGAGGUUCAGAUUUGACAGGAGAUUAGGUCCGGUCAAUUUGAAUCUGAAAAAAAUUAAAUAAAACAAUAUAUCAAAUCUUUUCCUUUUAUUGUCUAGUGUUUAGAUACAUAAUAUGUUUUAAUUUGUUUUCUUAUCAGAUUAUUAUUAGUAAAGGACUAAAUAAUACAGAAAAAAAUAUAUUCAAGAAAUUGAUAUUCCUUAUAAAAUGAUCCCUUCUUCUUCUUUUUUUAACUUUAAAUAAGUUGUUGUCUGCCGAGAAUAUUUUGUAGUGCAUGACGUGUUUCUUUAAUGAGCAUAUAUGCAUUUUCCGCUUUUAAUAUUAUUCUGCGUGUGGUCAAUUUUGGGUUCUGCAUGGUUUGGUUUUAGCUGUCCACUGCUUGAUGCUUUUAAAUGUUAUCAUUAUCUAUAGUUCUGUUUUUAUAUAUCACAACAUAUUAAAUUACUUCUCCCCUCCAAAUAUUUUUCCUUUGAUAAAUUAAACUUCUUUUAAGAAUCUUAUAUUCUAGAAAAAUAAAUUACUAUUUUUUCGGUAUAAUUAAACAUGAGGCCUUUAAAGAAAGAUAAAGUCGUACUAUUAAUUAGAUGUAGGAUUAAGAAAAUUAAAUAUAUGUAGGAUUAAGAAAAUUAAAUAUCUUUUAUAUGGACACGAGAGAGAAUACAUGUGAAUAUUUUAAAAGUAAUCUUACUUGUCAAGGAGGUUUGCUUAUUUUAAAGCAAGGAAUAGAACAAGAAAAUGGCAAUUCAACUUGAGAUAACUAAAAGAGAAAGACAAAAGGGUUGUUUGGCUGGAAAACCAAAUUAUUCAAAGGAUUAUAAAUUUUGGAUUAAUGUAUUUGGAAGGAGAGAAAAAAUAAUUUUUAAGUUUGAUAAAAUAAGUGGAAUAUAUCCAAUAUUAAUUUGGGAUAAUAUUUAUACAUCAGUUAAAACAUAAUAUAAAUUUGUAUCUCAAAUUUAAUUGGACAACGUUAGUCUAUAUGUUGCUCAUGAGUCCUUAAGUAUCAGUCUUACGACAGUAUGUGGGAUAUUCCACUUAUUCUGUAUACCAAAGGAUCCCUCCUUCGUUUUAUAAAUUAUGUGCUUUAGUUGCUAGUUGCUACACAAACAGAGAAAAGUAUUUUUUUUUAAAAAAAAAUCAAUUACUAUAAAUAUUUUAUAUGAUAAUUUUAUUUAUUUUAGAUAUUAAGUAAUUUGAUCUUUCAUGGUUUCAUAUACUAAAGUAAUCACAUUUAUAAUCUAUAUCUAUAAUCUAUAUCUAUAAAAGUGUGAAGACUCUUAAAAAAAUGAUUUGGACUUUUUACCCUUCAUUAAUUUAUUAUUUAAUUAUUUGUAUUAUAUUAACUAGACUUCCUAAAAUAUAUUGGACUCCUAAAAUAUAUAGUAGAAAAAAAUUAUUAAUAUUUUUUUCUUUCUACUAGACUUUCUAAAAUAUAUGGGACUCCUAAAAUAUAUGGUAGGAGAAUUAAUUAAUAUUUUCUUUUCUACUGUCCAAUUAAAAAAAUACUCCUAAAAUAGGACUCUAUCAAGGAAAUACUUCUAUAAAUAUUGAGAUGUACGUUAAACUGGAGAACAAAUCGAUUUGUCUAUUGAGAGAAUAUGAUUGAUGCUCAUCUAAUUUGAUUCAAUUGCAUGUCUAGAUUGGUAGAUGCUUGAUUUUCUAACUCUCGACUUAUUCACUGUUUUUGUUAGCAUAAUAGAAUUCAACAUGUUUGUAUGUGUGUGUGUGUGUAUAUAUAUAUAUAUAUGUAUGUAUGUAUGUAUGUGUACUAUUAUAUUUUUUUUUAUAGCUUACAGGUCGUAGAUGAAUGUCGGUUGGCUUUGAAGAAUUUAUUGGGUAAAGGUUAAGUUUAAUUGUAUUAUUUUGAUAUCUUUAUUAUCUUAUUAUUUUAUUUUAAUUUACAGAUGAUAGAUGAAUGUGGAUCGACUUUGAAUUUUUUUUUUUAGGUAAAGGUUAGGUUUAGUUGUAUUAUUGUAAUAUCUCUAUUAGUUUGUUAUUUUGUGGUAGUUUACAGUUUGUAGAUGAAUCUCGAUCGGCUUUGAGAAAUUUUUGUGCGUAAAAUUUAAGUUUAAUUAUAUUAUUUUGAUAUCACUUUUAUCAUAUUUGUUACGGUUUACAGGUGAUAGAUAAAUAUUGGUUGGCUUUGAGGAAUUUUUUUACGUAAAGGUUAGGUUUAGUGGUAUUAUUUUGUUAUCUUUAUUAUCGUAUUAUUUUGUUAUUGUUUACAGGUGGUAGAUGGGUGCCGGACGACUUUUGAGAAAUUUUUUGUGUGUAACGAUUAGCUUUAAUUGUAUUAUUUGAUGUCUCUAUCAUUAUUUAUUUUGUUGCAAUUUACAGAUGGUAGAUGAGUGCCGAUUGACUUUUAAAAAUAUUUUGGAUAAAUAUUAGGUUUAAUAAAUAAAUUCUCCACCUUUACAUAUUUAAAAGAUGUUAAAUUUAAUUAUUAUAUUCAUCUUUAUUAUUUAAAUAAAUAUUUUAUUUAAUAUAAUAUUUGAACUCAUUAAAGUGAGGUACACGCACAAGACGCAUACGCCUAAACUAGUAAAUUGAAAUGAAAAGAGUAUAUUGUAGAAGUGUUGAUCGAAGUAGAUAUACUAGUAACUUGUCAAGGAGGGUUUUCUUAUAUUUAAUUUAAAAAUAAGAAAGAAUAAGAAAAUCAAGACUGAGAUAAGAAGGGAAUAAUGUACGUUUCACUUUCACCAGGUUCCUUAAUGAUCUUAAUUGUAUGCCCGCAUAGAGUAGUUUUUUCUCAACGUGGAACUUUCCUGUAAAAGAAUAUAAAAAAGUGCCUUUCUAGAGAGCCAUAAUUAAUCACUCCCUUCUUGUUUUUUUUUUUUUUUCAAAGAAAAAUACUUAUUUUUUUAAUCUAUUUUAAAAAGAAUGAUUCUUUUUUUUUUUAUGACAAAACUAUAAUUCCAAAAUUUCACAUAAAUAUUUAAGAUCACAAAAUUAAAAAGCAUUUGAUACACUAUACGUAACUUUAAUUUAAAAUCAUAAAAUUUUAAAAAAAAUUAUUUAAAUUUUAUAUCAAGUCAAAAUAAUUUUUUUUUUUUUUAGUAAAUAGGAUUAAUUAAUAACUCGUAAAUAUAGUAUAUUUUCUUGUUUCAAACUAAAAUUACUUAAAGCCAAUUUAGUACACCAAUAGAAUUGAGAAAAGUUCACAUCACAAAAAUCUAUUAUAUAAUCUUAUCAUACAUUUCUAAAUAAACUAUUUUUACGACUUAAACAAUAAUCUCCAAUCACAUAAUAUCAACUUUACUUAGAUAAGUCUCUCCUUCCUAAACAACCACUUCAACACACACCCAAAAAAACAUGUCAAAAUAAUGAUCACCUUAAAAUUCAAUAUUAAAGCUAGCAAUUAUUUUUAAUUAUAUCAAUAAUAUUGAAGAAUUAUUUGUUAUAUAUAAUAUAGUAAAUUAUAUGUUUUAUAUUUUUUUAAUAAACGUAAAAAGUUGUAAUUAUUAAAUAAAUGUUAAACCUAACUUAACCAAAAAAUUAGUUUAAAAUUGCCCGAAUUAUAUAAAAAGUCAAAAAAAUCAUUCAUUGCGAUGUAUGGUUUCAUUCAUGGAAAACGAUAUGAUGGAUACCCAACUACUUCUCUUGACCAUUUAACCAACAGUUAUGUUUUUAUUCUUAUUAUUAUUUAUUCUAAAAUUGACAUUUUUCUAUUAUUGAAUUUUACCUAACACUUUUUGGCAAAUAAAAGACACUAAAUUACUAACACUGCUGCUCUGACGAAUCUUCUCCGUAUAAAAGUUUAUUCCUUUACUAGUAAACUGAUUUGCGCAAAAAAAAAAACGGUAAAAUAUUAAUAAUAUUAUUAAAUAUAAUUUAUAUAAUUUAAUUUGAAGAAAUGUUUAGUAGACUUCUAACAUAUUUAUAAUUGAUUUUAUAGAGAUAAAUGUUUGGCCAACAAUUAUCAAACUUUUAAUAAAGUAAAAAAGUUACAUACGGAGAACAUAUGAAAAAAUAAAUUAUGUGACUCAUUUUUACAACCUCAACCAUCAUAAAAAAAUAGAAGAAAAAAUAUGUGAAAUUAAUGAACAAUCUUUUGAGUUUUUGUCGAUAUUCACUUCCAUAAUACCGAACACCACUUAAUAGUCUUCAUCUAAUUUUUCGACUGAGCAUGAAUAUAAUAAAUAUAAAAAACAUAACAACUUUAAAAAAAUAAUGCGACCAUUUCUAAAAAGUCUUACAAUGCUCUAUUUAAGGGCUAACAAUUAACAAUAUAUAACAAAAGAGAUUCGAAGAACAAUACUUAACUGCAUGCCUACAUCUAUAGAAUGGAUAUUCUGUGUUAGUGUUUGGGUGUAUUCAAAUUUCUUUGUUUGUUUAUGUAUUUUUUAUAUGUUAAAAUUGAAUUCUGAAUUUUAGUAUUAGUUUGUAAUGCUAGAUUUUUCAAAUUUGAAUAUUUUAUUUCCUAAACUUUCUACAAUUGUAUUCAAUUUUUUCUAUUUGAUUCUAUCUUUUUUAAUUUUCAAAAACAAAAAUAUACAUAUUUUUAGUUUUAUCAAGUAUAUACAUUUUGAAUAUAAAAAAAAUCAAUAAUGCAACAUCACUCUAACGACUUUAAUCAUUAAAAAUUAAAAUAAAAAAUAUAUGAAUCGAUGUUCAAUCUUUAUAACUCUUGUCGAUAUUCUCUAUCACAAGUUGAUCACCACUAAAUAGCCUUCAACUUAUACCUCAAGUCAAAUUUUAACAUGGAUGUAAUAAGCAUCGAAAAUAUUAUAACGCCAAAAGGUAAUGCGAUUAAUGUUUAUAAUGUCUUACAAUAUUUUUACUUGUAAACUAUAAUAUGAAACAAUAAAUAAUAUCAUGAAUGUGACUAUUAAUUAUUUUAGGGGUUAUGAUAACAAAAAAUUUUGGUGACUUUUUAUUUUCUUAACAUUGAAUAUUUAAUAUAAUUAAGAGAAAUAAAUGAGUGAUUUUUAAUUUAUUUUAAUCUAGAACAUAAAUGAGAAAAAAUAAAGAAAAUCCCAAAAAGAAAAUAAAGAUAAACUUAUUUCUUGACCAAAGAAAAAUGCCAUAUCUUUUCUUUUAUUCCUAACUUUAUUAUUAUCAGUAGAUUGUAUAUUUAAAAAAAUUAAAAAAAUUAUAUAACAAAAUAAAUUUUCAUUUUAGCAAUAAAAUAAUCAAUUGAAGAGUAUUUCAUGUUUUCCUUUGAUACAGAGUGUAAAUUUAUGUUAUAAAGUCUUAUUUUUAGAGAAUAUAUAUCUUAUUUUUGAAGAAAUAAUCAAUUAAAAAUUUUAAAAUAAACAAAAAUAAGUAUAUAUACUCAUAUAUAUUUCUUAAUCAUUCAAACUUCUACUUUUUGAAUGGAUUCAAUUUUUUGUCACAACCUUUUUAAUUGGCUGACAUAGUCUAAUGUUAGAUUAUGAGAUGAUUUUUUUUUAAGUAAACAUCUCAAUUGGUUGAUAUUUUAAGAAAACAUACUCAAUUGAGCCGUUUAAUGGAUUGUACGGGUGACUAAGAAGAUAAGAGGUUGAUAUUUUAAGAAAACAUACUCAAUUGAGACGUUUAAUUAUGAAAGUUGAAUUUUAGAUAAUAAAUAAAAUGAAAAAUCAAGAGGAUUAAAAUUAAAUAAAUGUGAGAUUUGGUGAUAUACCAUAUAAUUUAAAUUAGAGAGAAUUAAAUAAAAAGAAGAAAAGUGCUCUAUUACUACUAAGUGGUUUAUAUGUUCCAUUGCUUUCAAUAAUAACCUUAAAGUUCUUGAUGUCAAAUAAUAAACCUUCAUUCAGAAUUUUCUUCAAUCUGUACACCAGAUUUUUCUUAUUUCAACAUGCCUUAAAUCGAUCUAGCCAAAUAGAAACCUUAGUGACUAUCCAAAGACAUGAUAAAAAAUUUACAAUUAAUUAAAAUGAGGACCUUCUAGUAUAAAAAUCAUAUCCAAAGUAAUAAACUCAACUCGCUAUUUCUCUCGGUACUAACGGAUUCUCACAUUCUAAAAACUCCCUCACAAGUCAAUCGUUUCUACUAAAAUUUGUAAAUCAAGAAAGGAUUAAAAAAACAUGUGUUGCAUAGGUAGAAAGAACUUGCAGAAAAAUAUAAUAUUCAGAAGGGACCAAAAAAAAAAGAUCAAAAACAAAACAAAAGAAAACAUGUGACCUUUAAAAUACAUGUUUCACAUUUGGUCUAGUGAGAAAAUUCAAACAAAAAGUGGUAAGCAGAAACACAAAGUUUAAGCAAAUAUUAAUCUAAAAGGCCAUAUUGUUGCUUAAACUUGAUUUGUACAACUCUAUCUUUUAUGUAUGCAAAGGAAAGUGAAAAUGAACAUUGUAGCAUUAUUAAAGAAUUUUCAGAUUAUGCACUAUUCCAUUCCAAUAGAGUAUUAUAUAUCCACUAUAAGAGACCUUCCACAUUACUAACUACUCUAACUCUUCCCCAUUCUUAAAAUUAUUAUAUAAUUAAUAGAGUUAAAUAUAGCGGCUUUUGAAUUUUCUUUAAACACAUAAAUAUUUAAAUAGAGAAAAAACUUAGUUAAUGUCAAAAAAAUCACAAAAAAGAUAAAUGGAAUUUGAGGCCUCUAAGGCAUGCCAUAUAGGAUGGACUAACAUUCUCCUAUAUAUAUACACUAGUGAAUUUGCUCGCGCUUCUCGCGAAUUAGAUUUUAUAAUAUUUUAAAAAAUCUAAACCGAACCAUUACCCAAUCACUUAGUCAAUAUUAAAAUGAUAUUAUCAUAAAAUCAACUUACCAACAAUAAUCUGGAGCCAAUCAUCAGUACUGAGAAAACCAAAUAAUCUACUUAUUGAAAUUCCCAAGACCCGAAAGUAAUCAUACAAGAACUUCUAACAAAGAUCAUGUCUAAAUAGAUAUCCAAAAAUAAGGUAAAUAAAGAAUGUUUCAUUGCCCGAAAGAUGGACAAGAACAAAUAGGAUGACCCAUGACAGCCUGGAGACAGAGCGUUCACCUUUGGAUCAAGAUUUGCUAUCAAACUCUAGAGGUGAGGUCGUGUCUGAGCCUCUGGAACACUUUCUGCACUCAACAAAAGAAGAGUACAGAGUAGUAUCAGUACAAACCACUAUGUACUGGUAGGUAUCAUAGGCCAACUCAACUUAAUAACAUGUACACAACGUAAAACAAAUAACAAGUAGACAGACAUCGUCACUUAACCAAAAAUUCAAUGAAUUAACAAUACAAGAAUACAACAAUAACAUGUCAAACAGUGCUCAGAACCAAGCCACAUAACCAUCAAGAAUAUCAACUAUACUAUAAACAUCCAUAGAAUCAACACAAGUAUUUACACAUAUGCUAUGAGACUUAUUUUUGCCCAAAUAGUCAUCAUAACCUGCAGGGAACAAUAUAUGUUCAUGUACUGUACCAGCAUGGUACCCGAUCCUCAAUAACAAGUAAUAUCAAUAUCAUAUCUGUACCGGCGUGUACCCGAUCCUUCAUAAACAAGUAAUAUCAAUAUACAUAUCUAUACCGGCGUGGUAUCCGAUCCUCUAUAAACAAGUAAUAUCAAUAUACAUAUCCGUAACGGCAUGGUACCUGAUCCACCAUAAACAAGUAAUAUCAAUAUCAAAUUUACACUACUCACAGCAUGCAAUACUAUGUACCAAGUUUACAAGUACACUUAAAGUCAUAAGACAAUUUCAUCAAGUAAAUUUUCAAUAAUUAUUUAUACACGACUCAACAAUCCAAACAUCAUCAUCUUCAAGCAUGUCUGAAUACCAAUCAAGAAGUAUCCAAUUUAGGAGCAUACACACAAUUAAAUCGAGUCUAAACUCUAAUUUAACCGUAACCUACCUCAACCGAAAAAUUCAAAUAAAAUCUAAUUUUCAAGAGAUUUAUUUUUUCGCAAAGUCUUCGAAUGGUCAUAAUCUAUUCAAAUACAUAACCCCAUAAAAAUACAAGACUAAUGACACUCACCUCAUUCAUUCUGUACUGGCAUAGUUCCAUCCUCUGUUACCUCAGGCAAAUCCUCAUAGAGGGAGGAGAUAUUGGCCUCUCCCUAAUAGGUCUCGCGGCUUGAGCUCUGCCCUUGGCGGGUGUUGUUCUCCUUUCUCUGCCUCAUCCUCCUCUUGCCUGACCUCUACCCUGAACUGUAGCCUCAGCAACCGAUUCAGGCACCUCAACUCUUCCCCCAUUUUUUUGAGUUCUUACCAUCUGAGAGAAUAGAGUGAAAGAAAGAUACCAACUGGAAUCGCUAGAUACCAAUUGAAAUCAAGUAAUAGCACAUAAGAAAGAAGAGUUUGAUUUUUUCUAGUGUCCUACAGCCUCUGGAAGAAAAGUACAGACAUUUCUGUACCGUUCCGCUAGACUCUACUAGACAUGUUCUUGUACGACGAGAUCGACGAACCUAAGGCUCUGAUACAAACUUUGUCACUAUCCAAAUGGCCAGGAGUGACACCCUUACUAAUCUUCCUGUGAGGGAACCAUCUAAACCAAACCAUUACUCAAUCACUUAGUUAAUAUUAAAAUGAUAUUAUCAUACAACCAACUUAACACUAAUAAUCUGGAGCUAAUCAUCAGUAAUGCUGAAAGCAAACAAUCUACUUACUAAAAUUCCUAAGACCUGAAAGUCAUCGUAUAAGAACUUCUAACAAAGUUCAUGUCUAAAGAGAUAUCCAAAAAUAAGGUAAAUAAAGAAUGUUUCAUUUCCCGAAAGAUGGACAAGAAUAAAUAGGAUGACCCAUGCCAGUCUGGAGACGGAGUGCUCACCCUUGAAUCAAGAUUUACUAUCAAACUUUAGAGGUGAGGUCGUGUCUAGGCCUCUUGAACACUUUCUGCACUCAACAAAAGAAUAGUACAGGGUAGUAUUAGUACUAACCACUAUGUACUAGUAGGUAUCAUAGGCCAACUCAACUUAAUAGUGUGUACACAACAUAAAUCAAAUAACAAGUAGACAUGCAUCAUCACGUAACCAAAAAUUCAAUCAAUCAACAAUACAAUAAUAAUAGGUCAAACAGUGCUCAUAACCAAACCACAUAACCAUCAAGAGUGUCAACCAUACUAUAAACAUCCACAGAAUCAACACAAGUAUAUACACAUAUGCUAUAGGACUUAUUUUUGCCCAAAUAGUCAUCAUGACCUGCACGGAACAAUCUAUGUUCAUGUACCGUACCGGUGUGGUACCCGAUCCUCAAUAACAAGCAAUAUCAAUAUCAUAUUCGUGCCGGCGUGGUAGCCGAUCCUCUAUAAAUAAGUAAUAUCAAUAUACAUAUCCUUAACGACGUGGUAUCCGAUCCACCAUAAAUAAUUAGUAUCAAUAUGCAUAUCCGUACCGACGUGGUACCCGAUCCUCCAUAAAUGAAUAAUAUCAAUAGACAUAUCCGUACUGACGUGGUAUCCGAUCCUCCAUAAAUAAGUAAUAUCAAUAUACAUAACCGUACCGACGUGGUACCCGAUCCACCACAAACAAGUAAUAUCAAUAUAAAAUUUACACUACUCACAACAUACAAUACGAUGUACCACGUUUACAAGUACACUUAAAGUCAUAAGACAAUUCCAUCAGGUAAAUUUUCAAUAAUUAUUUAUACACGCCUCAAUAAUCCAAACAUCAUCAAUUUCAAGCAUGUCAGAAUACCAAUCAAUAUGUAUCCAAUUUAGGAGUAUACACAUAAUUAAAUUGAGUCUAAAUUCCAAUUAAACCAUAACCUACUUCAACCGGAGAAUCCCAAUAAAGGCUAAUAUGCAAAAGACUUGUCUUUUCGUAAAGUCUCUGAACGGUCACAAUCUGUUCAAAUACGUAACCCCCAUAAAGAUACAAGACCAAUGACACUCACCUUAUUAAUUAUUACCCUAAAAAUUAUUGACAUGAAACUUAAGUUUGUCAAAAUAAUGUGGAAAAUAUUAUGUGAAAUAUAUUGAUCGUCGUCACUUACAUCAAAACUGAUGCGAUUUACAUAGUGCAUGCAAGAAUCUUAAUUUUAAAUUUACUUAUCAUUGUCAAUCAUUGGCAUAUAACAAUUCAUUAACUAACAUGCAUUAUGAUCAAAUCAUAGCUGCCAAUCAUUGGCAUAGUUAUUAUGCAAUUUAUACCUAGGUAAUUUCUUAGUAUCAACUCACCGACAGUAACCUCAAAUACCCGGUGCGCCUUCUUUUCUUUUCUCUGCGCCUCCUUUCUUUUCUUUUUCUUUUCUCUUUGCUUUAAUGAAUUGAGCGUAUAACUUCUGAUAACCUAUUACCCUAAUUUAUACAUGAUCACAAAUAAAGGAGUGGUGGAUAUAACCCACUACUAAUUUAAUAAAAUAAUAUUUUUACUAACCAUCAAUUAAAUUAAUUAUUUAAAAUACCCAGAACUUCUAAUAAAUUCAAAUACAUUUCGAAUCUAUUAAAUAAAAUACUAAUCUGGGGUCAUCUUGAUCGAAGGUUGACUGUGAUUGAACUUAAAUUUACAAAAACUCAAUAAUUCAACUAAUGACUUAAAUUACUUUGAACACCUUAAGAAUUGGUACUACUCAUCCUGUGAGUCAUAAUUCACGGGCACCUACUACGAAAAGGGCUAAAAUUUCACAAACGACUGGGUCGCUACAUUUCUUAAUAAAUCGUAAUUCUCUUGAUUUUGGCCUUAUUUGAUGUCAAUCAGUUAUGAAAAAUAUCUUUUAGUUUCAUUUUUGGUUCGUGUGUAUCUCAUAUAAACAUUCUAACCUGAUGUAUCGAGGCUAGCAUUAGACAAAUUGUGUAAUUUCUGAAACUUUUAUCUCAUCUAGUAAACUAUAUGGAAGCUUAUAGUUUGUAAAUCAUGAGAAGAUAAAUUAGACGACGAAGAAAAUAAUACUAAAAAGCAUAAAAUUAUUAUAUAUUUUGGUUGAUUGGCCUACAUAUUAUAAAACUUAAUAUAGAUGAAAUCAUAAAAACUUUAGAAGAAAAUCUUCUCAUAAACAAACUAUGAUAAAAGAAGAGAUUUUCUAUUUUUAGAGGUACAAAACCUUUCCUCUAAGAAACAAUAAACCUAAUAGGAAAAUAGAUGCUUUCCAAUAAGAAAACAUUUGUAAUUUGGGGUUUGUUUGGUAUGAUGGAAAAUGUUUUCUUAUUUUCCCUUGUUUGGUUGUAGUUAAAUGUUGGGAAAAUAAUUUCCAUAACAACUCAUUUUUCUUCAUUUGAGGGAAAAUGACUUCCCUCAUGAGCCAAGGGAAGUCAUUUUCUGGAAAAUGAUAAAUGUGACUUAUGCCCCCGUCCCCACCCCCACCUUUCUUUUCCACCCCAACAACACUCAUAUUCACAUUUCUCAAAAAGUUCACAUUACUUGGAAAUAUAUUUUUCACUGUACUUCGUUUCAAUUUUUUACUGUUUGAAAUAAAAAAUAGUGAAGCACACAUUUUUUUCUUUUCCAAUGUUCGUUGAAUGUAUUGUUAUUUCCAUAUGCAUAGAGGAAGACAUACCUAUGUUACUUUUGCUAAUUGCAUAUUUCAUUUUGUCAUCGAUGUAGCUUGUUUCACAUGGUUGAAUAAGCUUGUCAUUCCGUUGUAUUUCUAUUGAUUGUAGUAUCUUGAGAUUGUCCUAACAAAAUGUUGAAAAAUGUCUCCUAUAUUUGCUAAUUAGUAGUUGAUUAAAUUUAGUGAUUGUAUAAAAAAUAUUUUCUAGUCACCAACCAAACACCAUAAAAUAUUUUCCACUCACUAACCAAACAUGAGAAAAUAAGUAGAAAAUCAACUUGUUUUUUAGAAAAAAAAUUUCCAGGAAAAUAUUUUCCAUCAUACCAAACACACCCUUAGUUAUGACAGAGAUAAAAUAGGAAAUUGAGACAAAUCCUAAUAUGUAGUUCACUCUUAAAAAAUUGGUUAUAUAUGCCCCUAGAUAAUGAAGGACCCGUUUAUGGGCCCGAUAUUACAAUUUUAAAUAUAUUUAUAACUAUAUAAUUAAUUUUUCACAAAGAGAGAUCAUUAAUAUUUUUGAACAAACACAGUAGGAAAUGUAAGAAGAAAUCAUAAUAUUUAAUAAAAUGUAAAUUCUUAUUUUUAAAAAAUCAAAUAAUAGUUUACAACUUAUUUAAGAUUUCAUAAUUAACAUUAAAAUAUCAUAUACUCUAAUGCUUAGUUUAACAUCAGGUCAAACCCAUUAUCUUAGAUUAAAUAUCUAAUUGUAAUAUUUUAUUUAUUUAUUUAUUUAAAAAUUAUACGAGAGAAUAUAUUUAAAUUAUAAAUAUAUAUUUAUUAACAUUUUAUAUAAAAUCAUACAAAGUAAUAAAGAAUACUAAUCCAUACAUAAUUUGAUUUCAAAUAAAUUUAAAUUCAUUUUAUGGGUGCUUAAUGAACGAAAAUAAAGACCUACUGGAUGAACAUUUUAAUGAAUCAUAAUGUUAAAGGAUUGUCGUUAUAUCUUGUCUUAUAUGUGUUAAAAAUAGGAGACCAAUUUAACAUAAUACAUAAAAAUUUUAUUUUUAAGUGAUUUGUCUAGCUGGUGAGAAAAUUUACUUCCUCAAAUAAAGAAAAUCAAAAGAAAUAACAAAAGUUAACAUGAUAUAUAUUAUAGUAAUUUAACAUGAGAUAGUUAAUAUUACAUUUUAAAUAAGUUGUUUAAAAUAAUUUUAAUAGGUGCUUGGUAAAUAAUAAAAUUAUAUGUAGUGCAAAUCUUUGUAAUGAUACGUAUCAUCUAAAAUUUUGAAAUUAUGGAGGAAUUGCUUGUUGUGUUUGAUAGAUAAACAUCUAUUCAAUAUUUAUGAGUAUUUUUUAUUAUCUUACCAUAAUAUAGUAAUAGUUACUUUAUGUAAUUAAAUGUGUGACCAAAAUUAAUUUCACUUUUUUAUCUUUUAUGAAACAUAUGUGAGUAUUUGCACAUCCUACUAUAAACUACGUCUCUCUUUAUUUCAAUUUAUAACAUUUUGAUUAGACAUCGAAUUUAAGAUAUAUGAAAUUUUUUUUCAAUGUUUUAAAUUAUCUUUAAAAUAAAUAAACCUUAAAUAGAGGAAUAUACCUUUGUGGAUUUUUGGACAAAUAAAUGAAAUUCGACAUGACUAAAGUAUUGAUAAUGUUAUAAAAUACUAACCAAAUAAAAAAUGUCAAUUCUUUCUUAGAAGUGAUUACAAAAAUUAUAUUAUUUAAAUUGAGAUGUAUGAUGUACUAAAAUAAAUAUUCUGAUAUAAUGCGUUUAAUUUUUUUUACUGCAUAUUAAAAUAGACUUAUAGUUGAGAUGUGUGGAAUUCAUGUGAAAGAUUAUAUCAUUAGUGUCAUUGAAAAGAUUCUAAUGAAAUGACCAUUAUAUCUAUUUUUUUAUUUUAAAAAAAUAGAGUUAUAGUGGGGUCAACAUAAAACAAUAUAGGAAAAUAUUUUAAAAAUUAUAAAAAAACAGUUAUGCUAUUGGUUAUAUUUGUAAGUUUUACCUUAAACAUAAAUUAACUAUCAUAAUUUUAGACAAAAAUAAUAAUGAGUGUUCUCAAAAGUAACUUAUUUAUUCCAUGGAUUUAGUAAGGGAGAGAAAGCUCGUUUGUACACCAUGAUUGAAAAAAAUGUUUAAAUGAAACAGACUUCAAAUAUAAUUUCUCUUUAAAUUUAAUAUUAUUCUUCCCAUGGAUUCAAAUAUAUUGUUUAAAUUUACAUUUAAUAAAAAGAUUAGCACAUAAAUUCUCAUAUAUAAAAUAAAGUAUGAACACAACUCACUACUUAAAUUACUUUUUAAGGUUUAAAAAAUUAUUUUUUAAAAUUAUUUUUCAUAUCGUGAAAAAGUUUAACUUGAAAUUAUUUUUGAAUGAUGUGAACUGUGGAUAUAUGAAUGUCUUGUAGAUGUUUGUUACUCUCUCAAUUUAAAAAAUAAAGACUAUUUUUUAUUUUAAUUUGUUUUAAAAAAAGAAUAAAAUUUUUUUUGUCAAUACUUUAAUUUCAACUUUUCAUGUGUUAUGUUUAAAUCACAAGAUAAAAUACAUUUGACAUAAUUUUAAUUUACGACCACAAGAUACAAAAGUGUCCUUUAUUUUCUUAUUCCGUGUCAAGUUAAAAUAGAUUAUUCUUUUUAAAACGAAGGGAGUAAUAUAUUUCUUUUAUUUCUUUAUUACUCUAUUAAAUAAGUUACUAUAACUAAAUGUGCAAAGAAAAAAUUUAAUUCUACUUGCAUGUGGACAUUUUAUUUGAAAAAAUAAAAGUAAAAUUUUAUCACUUAUAAAAGAAAAUAGAAAUGAGUAUUGUGUAUUAGAACUAAUAAAAAAUAUUUAUAGAAAGUUACGAAGGAAACUGUGGGAUCCACAAGAGAUAUUAUACAAUUUUGGAAGGAAAAAAUACAUAAAGUAUCAAACUUAAGUAGUAAAUUACAAAAAAUAACAACAAUUUUAUUAAAUUACAUUUUGUAACAUCUAAGUAUUAUUUUAUUGUGGUCCCUACUUUUUACCCACUUGGAGAAGUAACUUUCAGUUUUCCCUCUUUUCACGCCAUAAGCUUUCUCUUUCAUUAUUUUGAAAGAUUUUUACCGUUCUUUUCGCCCUCAAGAAUAUCUUUUCGCUUCAAUUUUUUUUUCACUUUACAUGAUUUUAGCACCAUCAGUAAAGAUUAUCUUCAUCUAUUUCAGGUAACUCUUAAUUUAGCUAUUGCAUGUUAGCAUUUUUUUUGGGUAAAUUUCACAAAUAGCAUACUCUAAUAAAUCUCAAAAUCAGAAUUUAGGGGUUUUUUUUUUUAAUGGCUCAACAAACACCAAAAUCACGAACAAAUAGUUGUGGACCAUCUUUUAGUCUUGGGUUAACUCAAGAAGAUAUAGUUAAAGUUGUUUCAAAUUCUUUACAGUUGAAGAAAUCUGAGAAACCGAAGGAGAUUAGGUCGAAGUUUCGCAACGAUCCGCUGAAGAUGAAAAUUUUUUUGAAAAAAAAUCGUUGAAGAAAUCGCCUUCUCAGAAGAAAAUUUUUUUAAAAAAAAUUGAGGAGAAAAGGAAAGCGAAAGAAAUUGAAGGUUUGAGUAAGGUUGAUGAGGAUAUUCAAAUCUCUUUUGAUGAUGAUUCUGAAGAAAUUAUCGAGGAAGAGGUAUUUUUUUGUUGUAAAAGUAUUUUUUGAGUAAAACGUAUUUUGCUCCAAGUAAAGAUGUUGUUAAAGUUGUAAGUUAUAUGUAUUUUUUUGAAGUAGUUAAUAUGUAUUUUAUGUUAUGAUGAUAUUUAGGGAUUUUAGAAUGCUGAUUUGUGAAGAUGAUACUAUAAUUGUGAAAAUAUAUUGUUGUAUUAACUACUCAUGAAGAGUAUAUUGGCUAUGUGUAUUUUUUAGCAUAAAUGAUUUAUAUUUUUCAGUGUUGGUUGCAGUUUUGAUAUGGUAAAAAAUACAUAUGCUUGAUAAUUUUACUUGAAAUAGUAGAACAAUCUGUUAGAUAUAUGUAUUUUUAGUACAUAUGAUAUGUAUUUUUCAGUGUUGGUUGCAGCUUUGAUAUGAUCAAAAUACAUAUGCAUAUUAAUUGUAGCUUAACUACCAGAACAGUCUAUUGACUAUAUAUAUUUUUAGUAUAGUUGAUAUGUAUUUUUCAGUGUUGGUUGUAGUUUUGAUAUGAUAAAAAUACAUAUUCCUGUUAUAUAUUUUUUAUUUUUAUUGGCUGUUUGAUUUUUUGGCUUCAUGUUAUAUGAUUCUUUGUAUAGGUGAUGCGGGAUGAAAUAUUCAUUGUCAGAAAACUUUCAAGAUUUGCACCACACAUGUGUUUGUACAGUGACAAAGAUAUUUAUGGAAGCAUACGCGCAAUUUUAAAUAAGGAACAGUUUAAAAACUUUUGCGACAAUAGCAUUUUUGGUUAUUUUAUGAAGAAACAGCAAUGUGUAGUGCAAGCACAGUUGUGCAGAUGCGUUAUGACGCUUGAGGUGAAGGGUAUUUCUUCUUCUGAGAUUCUGAUUUGAGCUAAUGACACCUUUCUUAAUUUUACUCCCAGAAAAUUUGCUAUCAUAACUAGAUUGAAUUGUGUGUCAAAUAGAUAUGACUUUAUUUUUGACGUGGGUGUACCAAAUAGGAUGGUUAAGAAGUAUUUCAAUGGGGCAGAAAUUAUACAAAAAAGACAACUAUUUCUAGCAUUUACGGAGAGAGUAUAGGGGGAGAACAAUGAUGAGGAUGCUGAGAAAUUUGCAAUCCUGUAUUUCCUGCAUUCAUUUGUCUUAUCUAAUGUUGAAACUGCGGUAAUACCCCAUCUUCAUUUUGAUUUGGUCGAUAGUGGAAGAUAUGAGGAUUUUCCAUGGGGUUCUUUAUCUUUUGAAGAUCUGGCCAGAAGUUUGAACAACCGGUUGAAAGCUGAUAGUCAAUUUUAUUUGAUUCAGGAAAUGCCACUGGCUAUUUAAGUGUGGCUUUACGAGUGUUGUUCAAAUGUCCCACCAAAGAUUACAUCGAAGGUUGAUAAUCGUAUUUUUCGAUUAUUAAAUUGAAAGACGAUUGCACCUCGUCCACGCUUUGAGUUUUUGAUGAAUGCUAUGUUCAAUGACAAUGGCAAGGUUUGUUGUUACUAAAUACAUAUGUAUUAAUAUGUAUUUUACAGUAUAAAUAUACACACUUUCAUUUACAAUUGUUUAACUGAUUCUUUAACAUAUAUUAUUUACCUAUUAUUCUAGGUUGUCUUUAAGAACAUAGAGCCAACAAAAAAGGACCUAUCAAAAUUGCAAAUACCACAGAAGGAUGCAAUAUAACAUGAACGUUCUAUUGAUUCUGAUGAUGACUUCCAGGAUCCACCACCAAGAAAGAUCAACAAACAUUCAAAGAAGAAACAAAAGGUUGAUUCAUCAACACUAAUAGCGAAGAAACCUUUAAGAAAAAAACAAGUAAAUAAUUUUGACGAGUAUACCCAAACGAAGACACCAGCUCCUCGUGCUGCAAAGGCUGAUGAAAUGAAGACACCAGUUUUCAAUCCAAUUCCAACACGACAGGCAUCUUCUUCAAAAAUGAAAAAAGAAAAGCAAACACCUCGAGUUAUUUUUCCUCAGGUACAGUCAAAGCCAAAUAUUCAUGUAGAAGAAGUAGCCGUGUCAAAACCUGAGAGUCAUGUUGAGAAAGAAGCCUUUAUUUCUAAGAAAGAUUUUGAUGCAUUCUGCGAUGAGAUAAUUAUUUUUUGACAAAUAUUUAUUUUACAUGAAAAAAAUUUUGUUUAUUGAUUUUGUAUCAAAACAAGCUUGUCGCGAGUUUAAAGGAAUUCGUGGACUAAUGAGAAAAAAAAUUUAAAAAGAUGAAGAAAGCAUUUGCUCAAAGAAAGGUAAAUUUUUUCUUUGAAAAUCUUAGUUGAUUUGAAUGUGUAUACUUUAUUGGACUGCCUUAUACAAAUACAACAUAUUUGUAAAAUAACUCGUUAUGUUAUUGGACACAAUUUUUUCAGGAGCAGAUUGUGGAUAUAGAAGCUGAUAAAUCAAAUGUUGAUGAGGGAGGGUUAGAGCAAUCUGGACAAGAUUUCAGUCCUAAUGUUGUUCAAUCUUCGGAUAAUAUUUUUGAUGGUACAAAGAUAAAAUUAAAGUUACAAAUACAUAUUUACUUUACUUUUAAAGUUUAUAUUCAAAAUUCAUGUGAGGUUAAUAGAAUUUUCAAAUUUGGAAUAGAAUUGAAGAUUGACUUUAGUAUGAUAUGCAGGUUUUAUUUUUUUAUGUGCUGUUGACUUAUUAAAUACAUAUGCAUUGUUCAUUACAUACAAUUAUUUUUUACAUCACAUGUAGUGUAUAUAUAUAUUUUUGAGGAUGCUCGCAUAACAAUAUUUAUUAUUUGGUUGAUUAAAAACAUUAUAACAUGGAACACAGUGUGUUUUUAAUUUUGUUCAUAAAUAUGUAUUUUUGAGUUUGAUGUUAUAUAUCAAUAUGUAUUUUUAAUGUGUUCUAUACACUGCAUAUGUAUUUUUAGUUUUAUUCAUAUGUAUUUUUUAACACUGCAUAUGUAUUUUAAACUGAGUGUUUUUUUUUGUUAUGUUAUUUAAUAUGUAUUUUUGAGUUUGAUGUUAUAUAUCAAUAUGUAUUUUUAAUGUGUUCUAUACACUGCAUAUGUAUUUUUAGUUUUAUUCAUAUGUAUUUUUUAACACUGCAUAUGUAUUUUAAACUGAGUGUUUUUUUUUGUUAUGUUAUUUAAUAUGUAUUUUUGAGUUUGAUGUUAUAUAUNNNNNNNNNNNNNNNNNNNNNNNNNNNNNNNNNNNNNNNNNNNNNNNNNNNNNNNNNNNNNNNNNNNNNNNNNNNNNNNNNNNNNNNNNNNNNNNNNNNNNNNNNNNNNNNNNNNNNUAUAUAUUCAUUUGAAUUCACAUAUAUAAACAGAUACAAGUACAUGUUUGUUUGAUGUUUUAUUUUUUUAACUUGUUUGUAAGGGGUGCACUGAUUUGCAUCCCAAAAAAAUGAAUGUUGAAAUUGAUUCUCAACAAUUAAUCCCUGAUGAGCUUCUCCAAAGUAUAAAUUUGAAUUACUUACAUUCUGAGAAGGUUGUUCAACAUGAUUGUCGAGUAUGUAUAGUGAUGUUAACUUUGUCUUCAUGUGAUGUAAUAAUCCAGAGGACAAUUAAAUUUAUUCUUUCAUUUUUUUGCAGACCAACGAUGAGAAAAUUGAUGAAAUAAUUUUGUCUAAUUCACAAUUCAGAAUCCCUGAUAAGAUGUUACCGAGCUUAAAUGGCUAUCGAACACAAAGUAUUAUCAUACAUCCAUCGGUAAACAGUCAAGAAGAAUCUCAUCAUGAAAUUUUGGAUGCAAAAACUUCUGAGACUGUUAUUGAAGAUCGUGAUCAAGUAUGUAUCUUACUAUAAUAUAUUUUGAGUUUAUCUAGGUUCAAUUUGAUAGAAAAAAACUAAUAUUGUUUUUUCAAUUUUUUUGUUAGAUGAACAGAGGGAUCACUGAUUUGAGUUCAAAGUCACUGGUGAAUUCACAGGUCGAACUUGCUACAGAGGAGCAAGUUAGGACACCUCCUAAUAUACAAGAAGUAACCAAUGAUGAACAGAGGGAUGAACAAUUGUGGCCUGAUUCACAAAACACAAUCCCGGAUGAGUUUCUACCUAACUUGUGUGUCUACGAUCCAAAAAACAUCAUGAUUCAUCCAUCCGCUAAUUGUUAAUUUAAAACUCCCAGACCAAAGUUAAGGAUUAGGUGAUCAUAAAAAUUCAAGGAAUCGUCAUACACCAAAAAAUUUGGUUCAGCAGUUGGUAAGUACAAUAAGAUAUAUAUAAUUUUUAAUGUAAUAUGUCUUGAAAAUAUGUUUGUAUUAAUUAAGUUUUUGUAUUCUGUAAUUAUAUAGGUAGCUUCGCAGGGCUAAUACACAUAUUUCCCCAGAACAUCCAUUUUUAUAUCACCCGAUUGAAUGGAUAAUAGAUACAAAGAUUGUCAAGAACUUCAUGGACUGAAUUUAUGCCGACCUAUUAAAAGCUACAUUCAAGAGGUAGUUCUUUUGAAUUGCUUCAGAUUAUUUUUUUGUAUCAAUUAUGUUUUCAUGGUUUACCAUCUCCUUAAAAUACCUAUGAAAGGAAAAGUGGAUCAUUACAAGAGGGGAAAAUCAGAAAUUUCAAAGAUGCAUUUUGGUGUUGAGACUGUUGAAGAAAAAAAUUGGUUCUACAUGAUGGGGUUUACAGAUCAGACAUGGACAGUUUGAAAUUUUUUUCAUUUCAUUUGUAAAACUACUUAAAAAUACAUAUUAGGUUACAUUGAAAUACAUAUGGUUUAACAUAUAUGUAUUUUAAGUAUUCAAAAUAUGAUAUAGUAUACUACAUCACAUACUGUUGCAUAUACAAUUAGAUAACAUUGUCUGCAUGUAACUGAUCUUUAAGAAUGCAAUUAUAGAUAGAGAAAUCUUCUACAUUAAUAUAAAAAAAUGCAUAUGUAUUUUUUACUUGCAUACACUUUAAUAUUUGGUAUAUAAUUGUUUUGAAUGCUCUAAAUUUUGUGGUAUUCACUAAUCCAGAAUAUUGAUGUCUUCUUAUACUACUUGAGGAAGAAGUCGAAGUAUGGGCCGCACAGUUCGUACAAAAACGAGCCAAACAAAUCGUACAAACACAGUACAGUUAACUGCAACUUUAUGAACGUAAUUAGAUCUUUGAAGGAUGUAUAUUCUAUGGAUCAUCAAAACCUUAAUACUGGAGGACAGGAGCACCAUCUUAUUGAAUAUAUCAAUGGGUUCCUUAUGCACGCUGCAGUGCCAUGGCAUACAACGGAAGACAUUUUUAUUUCGAUCAAUAUAAAGAAAAAACAUCACUGGGUUCUCGCGAUUUUAUUAUUUUCAGAGAGGUGUAUAUUCUUGUAUGAUUCAUAUGAAGCCAGUGGUCAUUAUGCGGUUGUUCUUGCUGAGAUCGAGAAAAUAACAAAGAUUAUUUCAUUGUGUCUCCAAGCUUGUGAUUUUUAUGUUAAGAAAGGAAUUGAUCUUCAAAACCAUCCAAGAUACAAAGACAAAGAAUCCUCAGAUAUGUUUGAUGUUUUAUUUGAAGAUAAUUUGCCUCAACAACCGAGUGAAAUCUUAUAAGUUUUGAAUUUACAUAUACCAAAAUUGUAUGUUUGUACGAAAUAUAUUUCACUAUUUAAUCAAAUUUUUUUUGUAGGAAUUGUGGUGUCUUUAUGGUUACGUAUGCAGAGUGCCUUUCUUAUGGUCAUAAAGUUAUUGCGACUGAGUUCGACCCCAAUGCACUCCGUACAAGAUAUGCUGCACUUUUGUGGGACUAUGAGAUCCGAAAACAAGAAGCAAAUGUCAUUAGUGAUGUCGAAGCUCCCUUGAGACCUGCAAGGCAAAGUAGAAUAACUAGUGUCACUGAAGUUUUUGAUGUAUGAUGGUUGAUGGAUUUUUGACUUUUUGUACUUUAGAAACUAGUUUAUGGAUAUAGGUUUUGAUUUUACAGACUAAUUUUUAUGUUUUGAAUUGGUUCUAUUCCAUGGAGUUCUACCUUUUACUGUGAGAUUUAGUUAAAAAAUACAUAUGUAGUUUUUAUAUUAUGUUUAAAAAGACAUAUAUCGUAUAAAUCAAUUGUAUUUAACCUAAAAAUAUAUAUGCAGUGUUAAAAUCAAAUAUUGCAAAAAUACAUAUGGACCAUUCCUAAUAUGUAUUUUAGUAUGUUGUUGUUGUUCUUUAAAGUUUUUCACCACCUUCCUAUAUUGUUAAAUAUAACAUGUAGUGUGAGAUUUAUGGGGUUCUACCUUUUAUUGUGAGAUUUAUUUAAAAAAUACAUAUGUAGUAUAAAUCAAUUGUUUUUCAGCAUAAAAAUACAUAUGAAAUGUUAGAAUCAAACAUUACAAAAAUACAAUUUCAACAUACCUAAUAUGUAUUUUAGUAUGUUUUCAUUACCUAUAAUUAUAAAUUAGGAUUUAAAUUAAAGUGAAAUUUGAGAUUUUAAUGCAGUUAAUUACAAAAUAUAUAUGCAGUGUUGAUAUUUUGCUACAAAAUACAUAUCGAUUAUACAUAAAAAAUAUUUUCCAAAAAAAUACAUAUAUCGUGUUAAUAUAAAGAUGUUGGAAAAUACAUAUUGAUCAAACCUAAUAUAUAAUUUUGAUAUGUGUUAAUUUUAAAUCAUUAUACAAGAGAAUUUGAAUUAAAGAUAAAUUUGACUUUUUAAUGCAUUUAUAGAUUUGAUUUUAGUUACAAAAUACAUAUGCAGUGAUGAUAUUUUUCUUAAAAAUACAUAUGGAUUAUACAUCAAAUGUAUUUUUACAAUAUAAAUACAUAUGCAGUAAUAAUAUUAUGCAAUUCAAACAUAUAUUUGCAGAAUAUGUCACAUAUAUUUAAACCUUUGAACAAUUAGGAAUCAUAUACUUGUUUGGUUAAUCAAAGUUACCACCUUUAACCUAAAAUAUAUUUACUCUGUCAAAAAUACAUAUGAACUACUGCUAGAAAAUACAUGUGUAAUGUACAGCUUUUGAAACAUAUAUAGCUCCAUUAUUGAAAUAUUACUAUCUUCAAUUGUCAAAUGAUUUAUAAAUGUAUUAACUAAACUGAAUUAGUUCAACAUUAUAGAAUGAAAAAUAAAGUUUUAAGAAAUAAUACAGAAGAAGAAAUGUAUCAUUUACGAUAUUUCCUACAAGAACGUCUAUUGUGACCCUUAGCCCUACAACCACCGCAUGAGUUGAUAUUCUUCUUUAUAAACAUAUCCCAGCCUGAUUUUCCACGAUCCUUUUUUGCAGGUCUUUUUGGAGGUCUUUUGAAUUUUGGAGGCAGUACUAUUUCACCAAGUAUGCUCUCUGGAAUUAUCCAGUCAUCGGUGUGUGGAAAAGGGUAGAUUGAAACAUCAUAUGUCUUCAAAACAGUUUUUGGUUUAAACAAAUCAGAAUAGUAGGACCCCUUCUCAAAAUUCUUUUUCUCCAACACCGCAUAAGCAUGUGCACAUGUUAUCUCAUCUAUUUAAAAAGCAUUACAUGAGCACUUUUUUUCCUUGAUGCAAACAAUGAAGUUCUUUUGUUUGUCAUGUACCGUAUUCACAUAUUCUGUGGCUGAUACAACCUGACAUAAAAAUAAAAAAUUAAAUGCACUGAUACAAAAAGAUGAAUUCCAUAUUCCAUGAUAUGUUGUAAGCACACCAACAUUUUGCAAAAAAAAUACAUAUGCAAUAAAAAUACAUAUGCAGAGUACAUUUUUACAGAUCAUCCAAAUACAUAUGCAGUUGUUAAUAAUAUUCAAUACAACAAAAUACAUAUGCAAAAUACAUAUUAUGUUUUUAAAUGUUCAUAUUUUUUGUGUUGUAUAUCUUUUUAUUAAUUUACAACUGAAUGGAAAGUAUUUUCAUAUUUAUGUUUUCAUAAUUAUAAUUUCCACAAAUCUAAAAGGUCAUACCGUCAUAUGGGUACACAAAGUCUCGUUCUCACUGAGUAUGUCAUUAAACUUUUCAAUGAGUGUUGUGAAGGUAUAUGAAGCCUCCUGCCUGUUUGCACAAUUCCAUUUUGCAAACAGUAAUCGAACUUCCUCAAGAAAGUCAUAAAUUGGCAGUUCUCUAGUUGAUACAAGCACUCCAUUUAUUGACUCCGCAAUGUUUGAAGUCAAAGUCCAUCCUCGGUGAACUAUUGCAUACGACCUAACUCACUUUUCAUAACCCGUCAAUUUCAAAUAUUUCUUCACCCUAAUAUUAGUUGCCUCAACUUUUUUCAUUAACAUGUGGAAUUCUGACUUUGAAUAUGAUUUUACCAUUGUAUAAAAGAUCUCUGACAAUGCUUCGUGUGACUUUCUGUAAAGUUUUUUCACAUUUCUCCAUAGAUGCCACAUACAUGCAUAAUGUGGAGCAUCUUUGUACACAUCACCAACAACCUUUAUGAUGCUUGGAUUCCUAUCAGACACAAUACACAUAUUUUAUCUUUUCCCGUACGCUUUCUUUCAAUUCUCGAAAAACCACGUCCAAGAUCCAUCAUUUUCAGAAUCAAGCACACCAUAUGACAAAGGAAAUAUAUGAUCUGUAUACAUAAUUCAUCCUUUUCAGAAUCAAGCACGCAUAUGCCAAAGAAAAUAUAUGACCUGCAUAUAUAAAAAAAGUCUGCGCAGGCCGAUAUAAAUACAUGUAGCAACUGCAUAUGUAUUUAUUACAAAUAUAGAUAAAUUAAAAUAUAUAUUUUAUCUACCUGAAAUGGUAUCAAUUACAUAUAAUAAAAUCUGCAUGCGCCUCACUAUCAAACAUAAUCAAUUUUACAUGUUUCAUUCAGGAAACUUUGAAAAUAUAUUUAAUUAUAUAUACACACACACAUAUAUAUAUAUAUAUAUAUAUAUAUGAAGUGGAUAUAUGUAUUUUUCAAGUGAUUUGCAGAAAUACAAAAAAAAUACAACUGAUUAUACAAUGUAAUUAUUAUUAAAUAAUACUAACCUGCUCUGUCCGUUGUACAUGCUGUUACAAAUGCCCCAGUAUACAUUCCUCUCAGAUUACUAGUAUCAACAACUACGAUUGGUCUACAAUGAUCGAAUCCUUUAAUAUAUAUAUGUAGAGCGAUAAAUACAUACAAGAACACAAUAUCAUCUGUCUUCUUCAUUCUUAUAUGUGACUCCAGAUAGAUAGUAUUCAACACAUAUAAGUAUGAUGGCAGUUUCCCAUAAGAGGCUGACGGCUUACCCCUCAACUCUUUUAACGCUUUUUCCUUGGCCCUCCAACAUAAACUGUAUGUCAAAUUCAUACCAAAAUCUUCCUUCAUGUCAUUUUUUAUUUUCGUCGCAUUGUAUUUUUGUUGAUGGUUUUUAAAUUUCUGUUUUACCAUACCAGCUAUCAACAUACUAGUUGCAUGCACCUUUGGAUAGAUCUUGUCCUUCACUGGGCAAGUAUGUUCAGGUAUGAAUCUUCUAAUUCUAAACAUUCUAGUGUCUCCCAUGCCAGAUGCACACAUUAAGAACUCGCAGUUUCUUGAUUUGCAAAACAAUGUAUAACUACAUCAAACAUGAUUUAAUACAUUCAAAAUACAUAUCCAAAGUAAUAUUGAACAAAAUCAGAGUGAUAUAGAAUGUACGAACGUUUUCUUACUUGACCUUUUAUUGCGCGUUUGAAACUUUUUCCUAAUUGCAUAGUCCUUCAUGACUGACUUAAAAUUUUUUUUUGUCAAGUAAACCUGAUCGUCCUCAACAUGCUUGUGAUGUGGGUCUGAGAUAAUCACCUCAACAGUAUCCAUCUCAAAAAAAUCUAAUGCUUGUGUAUCUUCACAAACCACCAAAGCUCCUUCAUUUGUUGUAUUUAUCACUAUUUCCAAGUUGUUACAAUUGAUUCCUCUUUCAGCAACACAUAUAGAUGAACUUGCCAAGUUGCUCCCUACAACUUUCUUCAAAAUGCUUACAUAUAAAGGAAGACAAUUCAUGUCUUGUAUCAGCUUUUUCUGCAAUAUAAACACCUUUAAACCCAUAUCAUUAUGUAUUUCUAUCUUCCCUGAAUUAGCAGUAAUUUGAUAUUCCACUAGAAUACGUUUGCUGGUUAAAUCCACACUUAAGUGAGAUGUCAAAAUAUCGUGCAGCUCAACGAAUAUUGCUGUUGUGCUCAACAGUAUAACAUCAGUGACAUAUUCUUUGAAGUUCUUUUCAUAUGUCCAUCGACCAGAGUGUUUCACAAGGACUGGUAUGCUUCCCAUUUUUACUUAACCAAGAAAUAAAUAAAUAUACAUAUUUGUCAGUUAUCACUUAUUUUAACACACACUUUCCAGCUUUAAGUGCUGACAAAGUUACACAGCCAACAUUUCCAUUUAAAAAAUACAUUUAAACAAUAUUUGUUUAAAGUAAAAUACAAACACAGCAACAGUUUUCAACCAAAUACAGAAACUAUUGAAUCAAACCGAAGUAAAACAGGUACGAAAUAUAUUUUCACAUAUACACUUAUACUCUCAAAUUCCAACUAGCAAAACAAAAAUACAUAUUCUGUGUUAACAUAAAUCAUAUCAAAAAUACAUAUGCAGUGUUAACAUUAAGCAUAUCAAAAAAUACAUGUGGAGCAUACCUAAUUUGUAAUUUGAUAUUUUUUAUACAUAUUUGUCAAAUGUCACUUGUUAUAACACACACUUUUCAAAUUUAAGUGCAAACAAAGUUACACAACCAACAUCUCAAUUUAAAAAAUACAUUUACACAACCUUUGCUUAAAGUAAAAUAUCUUUUCAAAUAUACAUUUAUACUAUAGAAUUCCGACAACAAAACAAAAAUACAUAUGCAGUUUUAACAUUAACCAUAUCAAAAAUAUAUAUGCAGUGUUACCAUUAAACACAUCAAAAAUACAUAUGGAGCAGAUAAUUUAUACUUUGAUAUGGGUUCAUAUAAUAUCAUCAAAUUCAACAGCUAAAUUCGAUCAUUCAUUUAUCUAGUAUUUCAAAAAAUAAUUGAAUAAACUUUAAUUCGAAAGUUGUUUACAAUUUGUUCAAUUGUUAAAACAAUCAAAAUAACAACAAACGAUCCUCACAACAAUAGUCGAAUACUGAAUUUUUUAUACUUGAAACAACUUUUAAGCUUAAAUUUACAACAGUUAGUUGAAUUUCAAUUUUACUGUUGCCUUCAUUCUAACUCGAAUUUCUUUUACAAUUUUUUCACAUACAAAUUAACGAAGACAACAAAAACUCGAUAGGCACAUCAGUAAUGGUUAAAAAAAAAUCGAACUGAAUAACAAUAAUGAUUAUGUACCUUAAACAGUUGUAAUGGUUGAAUUUUCAACUGACAGUUGAAUUCUAACAAAUGGAACAGAAGAAUCAACAAUUGAAUUUGAUUCAAACAAAUUACUGAAACGUUUUGCAAUUGCUGUUGAUUUCGAAGAAGAAUCAGUCCAAUUUGAUUCAGCAACAACAAUGCUUGAAUUUUCAGAACAGGGUUGGUUUAGAUCAAAUUGCUAAUAAAAGAUGCAGCUAUUAAUGGGGAAAAAUUGAAAUUUGAAUUUUUAUAAACGUUUUGUGUAGAAAUAACGAAAAUCACGUUUUUAAAGAAUUUUAAAUGGAAAAGAAAUCUAUAAAUUUACUUGAUUGGUAACCAUUUAUAGCUCAACUAAUUUCAGUUAUUUAAGGACAAUAAAUUUAUUGUAGAUGUAUUUUUACAGCAACAUUUUUAAAAAAUACAAAAUAUAAGUUGUUAUAAAAUGUAAUUAUGAAACUCUUGCCAUAAAACUAAAAAUUAGGCUCUUAAGUAUGCUAUUUCUAAAUUUUAUCCAUUUUGAAAUAGGGUUGACAUUUGAAAAAAAAAAAAGAUUUGAUUGUUUUUUGUCAUUAAUAAUUAAUGUACAAACUUAGCAAACAAAACACUUUUCUUUUUUAAAAUGACAAAAUACCCUUGGUUAUCCCAUCUACUCACUCUUCUACAAUAAAAAUUUGUUAUUUUACAAAAUAUUUAAUUUUUAUGUUAAUUAUCCCAUGCAAAUCAAUUCUCAAUUUCGAAGAAUACUCUGAUUUGUCAACAGUGUUGUUGACGUUCUUAAAUAAGAAGAAUACAUGUUGUAAUUCAAUUUUAGGAUUUGAGAUUUUGGAUACAUACAUAUUCAUAAAUUUUAAAGUUAAAUCUACGUCUAAAUAGUAAACGAACUGAAAAUUGGUGUCCAUUGAGAAGUCGGUUACCGAAUCAUAUAAAUACUUCUGGUAUAAUAAUUUGUAGGGUAAAAUUCAGAAAUAAUAUACUUAUCCCUUUAAUUAUGAGUUAUAUAGUAAUAAUUUUAUAAUUAUAUAAUAUAACAAGUUGUAUUUUUUAUUUUUACAAACUGUUGCUACAAAAAUACAAAUACAUAUAAUUUUUAUUGCCCUUAUAAUCGAUAUAUAUUUUGUAUUUUUAUAAACUGUUGCUAUAAAANNNNNNNNNNNNNNNNNNNNNNNNNNNNNNNNNNNNNNNNNNNNNNNNNNNNNNNNNNNNNNNNNNNNNNNNNNNNNNNNNNNNNNNNNNNNNNNNNNNNNNNNNNNNNNNNNNNNNNNNNNNNNNNNNNNNNNNNNNNNNNNNNNNNNNNNNNNNNNNNNNNNNNNNNNNNNNNNNNNAUAUAUGCGAUAUAAUGUAAUUUAAUAAAAAUAUUGUUAUUUUUUAUAAUUUAAUACUUAAAUACUUUGAUGUAUUUUUCCCAUCAUAAUCAUAACCGUCCUAACUUUUCUAGAAUGGGCCUUUUCGUACCUAUAUAGCUUAGGUUAGCUAACUCUACUGGCUAUUUAAUGAAGUUAAAAUAAAUGAUAUUAUUAAUCAUAUGUGAUGAUAUAUAACUUAUUAUUUUCAAUUACCAAGUUGCUAAUUACUCCCUCUAUUUCAUAAUAAAUGAAUUAUUGAAUUUUGACAUAAUCAGAAGCCUCGGUUUUGAGCUCUGAAUAUGAAAAAAAAUCAUGUUUGGAAUGUCAUUGGCUCCCCCAAAAAAUUCAAAUUAAUCAAAUUUCAAUGCAAAUAUCGAAUACUAAAGUUAUGAGUGGAUGAGGGGAGAGAGAAACCAAAAAAACAAAAAAUACACAUAAUAGUUUAAGUGAACUACGAAAUAUGGAUCUUCCUCUACAUGUUCAUGCUGACACUACUAUAAUGUUAUACAUCUCUGUUUUAUCACGCAAAAGAAUUACAACAACCAAAAGAAAAAGAAUAUUUCUUUUCUAUUAGGUGGUUUCGACCAUCUCUCAUACAAUUACCAAAAAAAUUUCUCUAUUCCUACUUAAUUACAUAUCAUAUCCAAAUAUAUAAUAAUUUCAUUGUUUCAUUAUAAUGGUUUAAAUAUUUAAUAUAUUCUAUUAGUUUAUAUUAAUUAAUUAUAACUACAUAUUGGAAGUAAUUUUUUUUAUUUAUUUAAUUGGCUAUCAUGUUCAAAACUAACUUGUUACCACAAAUCACAAUAAUUAUUAACUUAAAAUAUUUAAAAGACAUAUAGAGAUUGACUCUCAUUAUUUUAGUAAUGCUACAUAAUUGAGAUAAAAGAAAAAGUACUGCAAAUCAUACUAAUUAACAACUUAAAAUAUUUAAAAAAUAUAUAAAAAUUUUAGUUGAUUCUCAACAUUGUAUUGAAGUCAAAUAAAUUGGGACACAAGGAGUAAAUAUAUUAUUUGACAAUUACGUAAAAAUUAUUAUAAAUCACAAUAAUUAACAAGUUAAAAUAUUUUUUAAAUAAUAGAUAAAAGUUCUAAUCAAAAUUAUAUUAGUGUCACAUAAUUAGGACGGGACAGAAGAAGAUAUAAAGCAACAUUUAUUAUUGGAAAAUGAAAUAAAAAGUACUGUAAAUAACAAUAAUUAACAAAAAAAAAAAAUUUUAAAAAUUGAUUUCUGUUUCAGCUGCUUCAAUCGUGAUUUUAAUGUAUAACGCGUAAUUAAUUAUUAUAAGUCACUUAUGUAUUGAAAAAUUAAUAAUAUUGAAUCCAUGAUUUUACUAUAUCACCUACAAUUAAUUAUUAUAAGUUAUUUAUGUAUUAAAAAUAAUUAAUAUUUAAUUAAAAAAUAAAAAAUAAACAUUUAUGACAUGUCUGAUUAAGUUGCUUCAAUCGUGAUUUUCUUAUAUCACUCCUAAUCAAUUAUUAUAAGUCAUUUAUGUAUCAAAAAAAUUAAUAAUAUUUAAUAAAAAAAAGUAAAAUAGACGUUUAUGACAUGUCUGCUUCAGUUGCUUCAAUCAUAAUUUUACUAAAUAUCACCCUUAAUUAAUUAUUAUAAGUCAUUUAAGUACUAAAAAAUUAACAAUAUUUAAUAAAAAUAAAAUAGAUAUAAAAAUGAUAAAUUAAGUCUUGAUGUUUUAAAUUAAUUUGACGUCUUAUAUGAGGUCCGCUUAAAUUUUUCACAAGUAUUUUUUAUAGUAAUUUCGCUAUGUCACUUCUAAUUAGUUGUUGUGAGUCAUUUAAGACAUUUAUGCUUCGUUGCUUUAGUCGUGAUUUUACUAUAUCACCUCUAAUUAAUUAUUAUUAUCAUUUAAGCAUUGUACCACAUAAGUUGAAAUAGAAAAAAUAUUAUAAAUCACAAUGAUUAAAAAGUUAAAUUAUUUAAAAUAUAAUUGGCUAUGGUUGACACAAAACUCUGGACAAGGAGAGUAGUAUAUAUUAUUCAAAAAUUACAUUAAAAGUAUUAUAAAUUACAAUAGUUAACAGCUUAAAAUAUCUAAAAACAAUUUAAUAUGUUAUAUAUUUCAAAAAAAUUACAUGAAAAAUACUAGAAAUCACAAUAAUUAAUAACUUAAAAAAUUUAAAAGAUAUAAAAUAUUUGGUCGACUUUUGAAAUUAUAUUAGUGUCACUGAAAUUGAAGUAGAAGAAAAGUAUUAUAAAUCACAAUAAUUAAAAAACUCAAAUUAUUUUUAAAAUAUAAUUGACUAUCAAUGCCAUAAAAAUUUGAACAAGAAAAGUAGCGUAUAUUAAAAUAUCAUAUAAAACUCAUGCUAGAUUCCGAAUGAAUCCUAGAAAACAUAUGCAAUCUUUUUAUUAAAAUAAUUUAUUUAAAAAAUACAAACCAAUAGGCACCAAUCAAUGAAACGAUUGAAACAUAACAAAUCUAAUGCAAAAAUAUGUUACCCAAGAACUAAUAAAUAUUAAUAGUACUAAUGUUUUUGUGUAUUAGACUUAUGACACUUGUCUUUAAUCCAAUGAAAACCAGCAGAAGCACCUGAUUUUACUUUCUUGAUCCCUGUUGAAGCUGCUGAUUUAGUUUUUCCAAAAGUAUUGGAAAAUUUAUUGGAAGUACCAUUAUUUGUAGUAUUUUUUUUGUCAUUAUAACUCUUGUAUUCGUACGUUGGAUUUGAAUCCCAUUGAUCUGCCCAUGAUGUUUCAUACGACUUGUAUGCAGUGUAGCUAUUGUUCAUUGCCAUAAAAUGAUUUCGGAAAUUCUCCAAAUGACUUCACCUUCUUUUUUCAAAAUGAAAAGCCUUCGUAGUACCCUACUCUCACGAGUUUCCUGACACGCUUAUCUUUAUUUUAGGGAAAUUCUCUAUCCGUUGAUGCAGAUGCCGCACCUUUUAAGGAAAAGAGGAGCUUUUUUUCUUGGUUGAAUGUUUUGUUGUUUGGGAGAUGUUUAUGUUGGUGCUAUUUAUAAUUUUAUGAUAUAAACGUGGCGUCCGUAUUACUAAUUGGACUAGGAAUAUUAUAAACCAAUCAUAAUUACGAGAAACUUCUUUGAUGGUUGAAAUUCCAGAAAUGAACAUGUGAGUAUUUCCUUUCCUAAAUUAGUUUGAUUAUUAAAAAUAGUAAGUGUGGCUCUAGGAAAUCACGAGUGUGCGCUUUAAUUUUUUUUUUUUUAAUCGAAUCUAUCCUUAUUCCAAUAAAUAUUUACAAAAUUAGAAAUUGUAAAGGAUAAAUUGAAGAGAUAAAAUUAGGAUAACUAGUAAUAUUAUCUAAAUACGGAUAUCAAAAUUUUAAGCUACGCUUAUAUUGAAGUAAGAGAUCUAGCUAGUAGCAAUGAGGGAGUAAAGAUUAUUAUUAAUAGAUUUAAAAUAUGAAGAAGUAAGCAAUGAAUAGAUCGACGGAAAUUUAACAUCAAUAUUUUAAAUAUUAUGAAAACAUUUUACUUUUAAAUUACAUAAACUAUUUAUAAUUAUUUUUAAAUAACUUAAUGAUGUGGUUUUUGGUACAUCCUUCGUGGAUAGAUCUAAGUUAUACUCUUUGAAUUUGAUGUCUUUUUUAGAAGAUUCUUUAGCUUGUGGUCCUAUUUUAAAUGUGGUCAAAUUUGGGCUCUGAAUGGUUUUUGCUUUCUUGAUAUUUUUAAUGUUGUCUAUUUUUGUGCUCUAACAUGCACGAUGGUAUUAGUAAUAAAAUACUAAUCAAGUGGUAUGGUCACAACGAGAACUCUUAUUUCCAAAACGGAAUACUUUUAUUCUUCCGACUAGAAGAAGCAAUUCAACGUUUUGGAUAAGAAGGGAACAUGCGGCAGAUUUCAUUUGUCAGCCAUGACGUUUCACUUUCAUUAGGUUUGUUAAUGGUCUAGACCGUUCUAGAAGUUUCUAACCAAAAUAUAAAAUUUCAAAAAUAAAAAGGCUUAAAUCAUCGAUAGCCCCUUUUAAGUUGUCUCAAAAUUUCGCUUGGACUCCUGAACUAAGAGUGAUACUUAUUGAACACCUAAAUUAUUCAAAUAUAUACCUAUUAGGGGUGUGCAUCGGUCGGUUCGGUUUGAUUUUACGUAUUAUUGGUUCGAUUUAUCGAUUUUUGAUUUUUAAAUAUGUAAAACCAAUAACCAAUCAAUAAGAUAUUUUCUUAUCGGUUUCGGUUUAUUAAUUUUUUGUCUUUAACGGUUCGAUUUUUGGUUUAACCAAUAAGAAAAUACUUAUAAAAUAAAAAUAAUAACAACUAACAUAAAAAAAUGAAAUCUUAAUUACCGUCAAAACCUAAGCAAUGCAUUUUAGUUUACAAGAAUCUUCAAACUUGAACUGAAUGUUUGUUAGGAAAAAAAUUGAAUCCUAAUUGUUGAAAGCUAUAAAUGCUUCAAACUUUUCAUUACGAUAAUAGUCGAACUUUAUAUUGUACCUUUAUUGCCCUAAAUAGGUUAAUACUUUGUGAAUCAUUGAAUUAUAAAUUAGUAGUGUAUAUAUAUAUAUAUAUAGAGAUAGAUAGAUAGAUAUAUAUUCGAUACCAAACUGAUUACCCAAUAAUUUUUUUAUAAAACCAAUAAAAAAUCGUUAACCCGAUAACCCAUACCAAUAACCCAAUAAUAUUUUUAUCGGUUCGAUUUAUCGGUCGGUUCAAUUUUUGUACAGCCCUAAUACCUAUACCUAUUAGACACAAAUUGCUAAUGUGGCAAGGAAAGUGUGUUCCUUAGACGUGUUUUGAGUAUAUAUUGAUAUUUUAGUUUUAUUUUUAUUAAAAAAUUUAAACUUAAAUUAUUUUAUGAAUAUCAUUUUAAUUAUAAUAAUUUCUUUAUUUUUUUAAAAAGAAAAAAAAAACCACACCCCCCAGCCCAAUCCCGUUGUCUUCACCCCUCUCCUCGUCGUCUUCACAACCCGCCCCCUUACCCCCCAGUCUUCAUCGUCUUCACAUAUCUCUCUAUCAUUAUUUCUUUUUUUUUUCUUUCUUCCCUACUUAUGGGGAACCCUCUUAAUCCACAUUCAAUAUUCGUUUUCCCCCAACCCACUAUAAUAGGACCAUGAAAAAUUUCUUUAACUAUGAAAUUCAGAGGGAAACAAAAAACUAAAGCGAUAGAAAAAUAUAGUUGUCCACUUUUGUUAGAAAUAUAAGUGAACACACGCUCCACCUCUCUCGGUGUCUCCAUUGAUUGUGAAAUCUCGAUAUUUUUGUUGUCCAAAUCUAGAAAUCUUGAUAAAGUUAUAUGGACUAUUAAUAUAAUGGUUAAAAUAUUACUUCUUGAAAUCUCAAUGGUAUUUGAUAAUGAAGAAGAUAAUUUAGUUUUAAUUUUUUGUCUUAAUCUGAUCGUCUAAAAAAAUGAAGAACAGGAAUAAAAAUAACCUAAAAAUGAAAAAGAUGAACGGAGGGGAGGUGGGGAAGGGUGGACCAGUUUUUUAUUUUCAUUUUUUUUUUUAAAUUUUAUAAUUACUUUUUAAUAAUCAGUUUUGGAUUUUUUUUUUAAAAAAUUAUAAUUAUUUUUUAAUAAUUCUUUGGACCAUCAAUAUCACAUGACAUUUUUUAAUUGAUUGUUUUUGCAUGUCAUUGCAAGUAUGUUACAUACACUUUAUAAAUUUUGCUAAAUAUUUAAAAAUAUUUGAUAGAAAUAAUUUUCUAUACAAUAUAAGCGUUCAAUAGGUAUUAAUCUUAAUUUAAGGAUCAAAGUGUAAUUUUGAGAUUAUUUAAAAAGGCUAUUAUGAUGACUUAAGCAAAAAAAAAAAAACCAGAUAGUAGUAAUACUUUAUGUUAUGUGCGUGCUUAUGUAUAUGUUUCUUCAAAUGGAACUUUCCUAAGUCAAAAGAUUAUGAAUUGUCAUAAAAUCCAACGAGUUUUCUUUUUCGUCCUCUCCUUGGCGUUCUCUUUGACUAGCAUAUAUGGGCCAAUGAUUAUGAUAGUUUUGAUAUGCCGAAUAAGGUGAAUAUCUUAGAAUUAAGUUUGGUAUUAAAUUUAUGUAUUUUUAGUUGAUUAUUUAAUUUAUUUUUGAUUUAAUUUAUACCUUUAAUCAAACAUAAUAUAAAAUUAAUAUUAAAAUUAAUUUAAAUUUUUUUCAAUUCCAUUCAAUAUAAAAUUAUUUUAUCCCAUUUUUCAUAUUCAGAACUUAUAAUCCAGGAAUAUAAUUUUGAAUAAUUUAGCCCGAUAUAACGAUUUUGGCCACGUUUUAACUUUUUAUAAAUGUACUUUUAAAAAGUUAUAAAGCAGGGUAAUUCUCAAAUAUAGACCCAAAUUAGGGAGACUUUUAAAUUAUAGCCCCAAAUAAUUUUUUUUUAAAAAUAACCUUUACUUGUUAAGUCAUAUUCUUUUGGACGAAAAUACCCUACUGUAAAAUAUUCUCGUUUAAAUCUCUUUCGUCCAAAUUCCAGAAUCAACCUCCAAAAUAUUGCUGUUAAAUCGCUUUCUUUCAAAUUCGAGAAUCGACUUUCAAACAUUCGCAGAAUCGACUUUAGCCGUAAGGUUUCUUCAGGUAUGAAUUUCAUCAUCAAAAUUUAUUGUGAUAAUUCUAAUUUAUUGAUGUAUUGUGGUAAUUUUAGCUCGUUAUAUAAUUAGCAUAUUGAUUUUAAUUUUUGGGGAGGUAAACGUAAGCUGAACUUGGGAUAUGCUGUUAUUGUAGUAAUAUAUUUACCAUUGAGGAAUUUCGUCGAAUAGGUUGUGGGCAAUUUAUUAUUGCGGUUAUAAUUGUGUUUUGAGUAGUUAUGGGGGGUUGGUCUUGGAGAGAAAGACCGUUAAUAUAGGAGUUAACGUUGAUCGCAACAUAUUUUGGGAAGACCAAACGUAUAAGGUCAAGCUAGUACAAGAAAUUAGUUCCCAAGUAUUUCAAACUAGUGGUAUAAUUAGCAUUAGAAGAUGAUGAGGAAUUGUGCUGAAUAGUUUGUGGGGAGUUUGUUAUUGCGGUUAUAAUUGUGUUUGAGUAGUUGUGAGGGUUUGGUCUUGGAGAAAAAGGCUGUGUUUUUCAUCACGGAUGAAUCCAACCUAUGUUUUAGAGAUUAAAGAAGCACUAACUUGUUGAUUCUAAGAGAGAGCACCUUAGCUAUUAGCUUGUAUAACAUAGAGCAACAUGCAAUGGGUUUAAACUCUCUAAUGGUAGUAGGAUUUGGCACUUUAGGUAACAAGGUUACUAUUAUACAACUUUCAGUGCUAAAAAAAAUCCUUCAUUGUUGAACACGCAUCAUAUUUAUAUUCAUUGACCAUUUGUUGUUGAACCAUGCUUACCUAGAUAUGUUUGAAAAUCACCAGUGUUUCUGGCAACUUCUUUUGUCUCAGUAUCUCGUGUUUCUGUUGAGUGACACAACAUGGGAGAUCCCGUACAGAUGACACGACUGCUUAGUUUUCCACACACCCCCAGAACCCCUUAUUAGAAAAAUUUAGUCUUGGCAUAUUAGAAUAUCCAUUAUCUUUGCUAUAUUCAGUCCCUUGACUGUGGGCGUGAACCUUUGGGUGUUGAGGUGAUUUGGCAGAAUAAUAAAUGAUCCCGUUUGGGGUAGCCAUGGUUAUCUACAAGAUUUUACAAGCCAAAAAAAAAUUUUCUGACUGUAUCCGGUGAGGCAAAAAAUAUAUUCAACAAAGCAUUAACCGAAAACUUGAAAGGCAAAGCAAAUACUAAAAUAAUAAGAUUCUUAGUUUAAAAAUUAAAGAAGAUUCUUGUUACUUUUUUUCUUUCAUAGCUACACUAAAAUACAUGGGGUUUGAAUCACCUAACUUAUACACAAAGCCCUGAAUUUUUAUUGUAGCAUGCUCUCUUCAAUAUUGCUCCACUUCUCAAAAAUAGUUAGUACAUCAUUCUCUUUCAAGGCUAUACUAUCAGAGUAUUCAGUUGAUAAACUAUGUUAUAUCACUUGCAACCUAUCUCUAAAGUAAACAAUCCUCUCAGAAUUAUCCCUAUAGAGUGUGUGUUAUUCAGUAGUUUCAAGUAUGAUUUAUCAUCUUCAGAUUCUGCCAUAUAUUUCAAGUUAUGCUCCAUGGGCAAGAGUUGACACUUUUUUAGUCUGUAAUGAUUUGGUAGAUGACCUAUAACUCUUGACCCAGAGGCAAGAUUGAGACAGUUAUGCCCCAUGGGCAAAAGUUCAUACUGUCAUAGUCUGUAAUGAUUUGAUAGAUGACCAAUAACUCUUGCUCUAGAGGCAAUACUUUGACAGUUAUGCCUCAUGGGCAAUAGUUGACUAUGCCUUACUCUUUAAUGAUUUUACUUGUUGAAGAUAUAUAUUCUAAAUUAAAUUGUUACUAAGUUUUUGUUGUUUCAUUUUUCACAAGGAUUGUGCUUGGAAUGGAUGGAAAAGAAAUGAGUAUUGAGCAAUAUAAUAUAGCACAAUCAAUUGAAAUUAUUGAUAGAAAUAACGAGUUACAGGUUAUCGAACCAAUAUUGGAGGCUACAAUAGAUGAAGAAAUGGGGCAGCCAUCGAAAAUUAAGAGGAUACGAUAAAAAAAGAAGAGGAUACUUGUUGUUGAUACUACUUUCUUGAGACACAAUGCCUCUUUGAAUGAGGUAAAUGUCAAGUCGAUUUUUACUGACAAACAAAAUAUGGUGAUGUGCAUGUCAAAUAUUGCAAUUACAAACAACAUCCAAUUUAAGGUUAUCAAAUCAAGCACAAUAAGAUAUUCACUGCGAUGUUUGAACGAUAACUGCGUAUGGCGGUUUCAUGCCUCGAGGAUUCCCAAUUCUUUGCUCUUUUAGGUUACUACAUAUGAAAAGGCUCACAAUUUCUCGGUUGAUUUUGUAACGUCCAACCACAGAAAUGCAACAUCAAAGGUCAUAUGUGACUAUACACUAGAGUUUGUGCGUGACUCUAGUAAUGUAAUCACACCAAACUUUGUGGUAGAUGAAAUGAGAAGAAAAUACAGAAUAAUCAUAUCCUACAACAAAGUAUGGAGAGUGAUACAACAUGCCUAUACGGUGAUAAGAGGAACUGCGGAAGAGAACUACAACAGGUUGACAUCGUAUCUUCACAUGAUGAAAGAAAACAAUCCAGGCACAUACACAAACAUAAAGAGGUACGAUGAGAACAGGUACAAAUGUUAUACUGUUGAAAUUGAAAACUUUUUCCCAAGAGGAAAAAGUUUAUUCUUUAAUUGCACUGAUUAAAUUAUUAACAUAUAUGCAACUCUUGCCUCAUGGGCAAGACUUAGUUUAGAAAAUUGUUGUAUAAAUGCUACACUGUUGAAAUUGAAAACUUUUGCACGAGGGGCAAAAGUUUAUUCUUUAAUUUCACCGAUGAGAUUAUUAACAUAUAUGCAACUCUUGCCUUGUAACACCCCAACUUAGGAAGGAGUCCCACAUCGGCAAAACAGAGGAGGGAUGCUGGGUUUAUAAGUAAGAAAACUUUAAUCCCUAAUGAUGCAUUUUAAAGCCGUGCGGGCCUGGGCCCAAAGCGAAUAAUAUCACUAGUGGGUUGGGCAGAGAUAGGGGUUUCUCGGGCCUUCGUGGUUCGGAAUGCCCGUGUGGCCAGGGCCUCAGCUCGGGUCGUGACAUGCCUCAUGGGCAAGACUUAGUUUAGAAAAUUAUUGAAAUUGAAAACUUUUACCCAAGCGGCAAAAAAUUAUUCUUUAAUUGCACUGAUUAGAUUAUUAACAUAUAUGCAACUCUUGCCUCAUGGGCAAGACUUAGUUUAGAAAAUUAUUGAAAUUGAAAACUUUUACCCAAGCGGCAAAAAAUUAUUCUUUAAUUGCACUGAUUAGAUUAUUAACAUAUAUGCAACUCUUGCCUCAUGGGCAAGACUUAGUUUAGAAAAUUAUUGAAAUUGAAAACUUUUGCCGAAGAGGCAAAAGUUUAUCUUUUAUUUGCACUGAUUAUAUUAUUAACAUAGAUAGAACUCUUGCCUCAUGGGCAAGACUUAGUUUAGAAAAUUAUUGAAAUUGAAAACUUUUGCCGAAGAGGCAAAAGUUUAUCUUUUAUUUGCACUGAUUAUAUUAUUAACAUAGAUAGAACUCUUGCCUCAUGGGCAAGACUUAGUUUAGAAAAUUAUUAUACCCUGAUUAUAAACAUCAAAUACAAAUUGUUACUAAUGUUCUUUUGCUCAACACGGGUUUCAAUAUGCAUUUUUUGCUUAUGGCGCUUCAAUCAUUGGAUGGACCAAUUAUAGACCGAUAAUAAUGGUAGAUGAAAUAUUUUUAAAGUCAAAAUAUCAUGGUGUUCUCAUGAUAGUAGUGUCAAAGGACGGAAACAACAACAUAUUUCCUUUGACUUUUGGAGUUACAGACUCAGAAAAUAAUGAGUCUUAUAACUGGUUCUUCAAUCAGUUAAGAAAUGCAAUUAGGGUAUGCGAAUAAUUGUCUAUUCUAUCAGAUCAUCACUCAGCCAUUGCAAAUACAAUUGCAAAUGUCUAUCCAGAGUGUCAGCACGGGAUAUGCAUCUACCACAUGAACAAGAAUUUAAGAAAAAGAUACUUCUCGGAUGUAGUUCUAUCACUCUUCUACAAUGCAGCAACAACAUACAAACAAACUGAAUUUUAUAUUUUUAUGGAUGAGAUAGAAGAAGACGACAAAGUUGCUAUAGAGUACUUGAAAGAAUAAGAACCAGAAUGAUGGGCUCGUUUAUUUCAUACAAAUAGAAGGUAUAAUAUGCUUACAACUAACAACGUGGAGUCCAUGAAUGCGGUAUUGAGAAAAGUAAGGCAACUGCCAAUACUGGGACUAAUCGAUUACUUUCAGAACAAGAUACAAAGUUGAUUUUAUGAAAGAAAAAUGAAAGCGCAAGGCAACUCUCAUGACAUCACACGUUGGGCGGAAGUGGAGGUGACUGACAAUAUUCAAGUCGCCUUAAAAUUGAAAGUAAGUAAUUGAAAUUAUAUUUUGAUGAUAGGGAAAUAUACUGUUAUUAUUUUUUUUAUUGUAGAUUAUAUAUAGCUGGUUUACUGUUAUUUGUGAUUUAUUGCUAGUUUUUUUAUUUUCUUGAGAAUCGCGCGCAAAAUAUGUGUUUUGUUGCUUCUUUUCUGUUGCUUCUGCUCAUAGUUGUGUGAUCGUUUGUGAUUUGAUGUUGUAUGCUUGAUUGUAGCUACUUUUUGGUUGCCUCAAGAUUCUUUUCCUAUGUAUGUUUGAUUGCUCUGAAUUGCUGAUUCUACUCAUAUACUAGAUGUUUCACAAUCAUAGUUGAUUCUAUUCCCAGGUUAGAUGUAAUAUCUGUUUUGUCCCAGUUUAUUUGUAGCUGAUUCUCCUGCUCAUAUGUUGGAAGCAUCACUAUUGAAUCAACUGCUGUUCUUGAGCAAGGUUCUGUCUUUUUCAUAUAAUACACGGAAUUUGACUUUGAAAGCUCAUUCCUUGGAGACAGAUCCUUCUCUUAUGCUAUCCCUGACCAAGCUAAGCAUAAAAACUCUAACUAUCCCAUAUAUUUGCCCUUCUCUUCCAUUUUGAAAUAGAACCUUAAUUGUGACUCCUUAUUAUUGAUCACUCAUUAUUAGAUUUUUGAUUAGUUCAGUAUUAGAUUGUGAUUUGAUGUUAUAUGCUUGAUUGUAGCUAUUUUUUGGUUGCCUCAAGAUUCAUCCCCUAUGUAUGGUUGAUUGCUCUGUAUGCCUGAUUCUGGUCAUAUACUAGAUGUUUCACUAUAAGUUGUCAUUUAUUUAUUAUUUUAUUUACAGGUAAACCUCAUUGAUGCAACAAGAUUUUUUGUAAGAGAAGGAGGAGUUGAAUAUAUUAUAGACCUGAAGAUUAAGACUUGUCAAUGCUUGGUAUUUCAAACAGAUGAGAUACCAUGCACCCAUGCAACUACAGCGAUAAAUAGUAGACAUAUGAACAAGUCUAGUUAUUGUUCUCAUUCGUUUUCAAGAAAGUCUUGGCUACAAACAUACCAGGAAGAAAUCCUACCUAUUGGAAGCACAACAUUAUGGAUUAUCCCAGAUAGCAUAAAGGAUCUGAUCACAAAAUCCCCAGAUAAGGAGGUUCUGCUUGGGAGAAGACAAACAUCCAGAUAUCCUUGCAGAACAGAAUCUUCAAGAAACAAUUACAGAUGUUCGUGAUGCAAAAGAACCGGGCAUAAAAUAUCAAAUUGUCACUACACUCCUAUCCUUCAUCCAUAUGCAAGAAGAUACAGAAAAAAACAUGAUUAGUUUUACUUUUUAUCUGAGAAGUUGGAUCAAAAUAGCAGUUAUAAUAGGAUUGUUUGAUCUCUCUUUUAGUUAGUAACAAGUACUUUUGACUUUCAAUCACGAAUGUCUUCUUAUUUAUUUGAAGUUUAAACUUGUGGUGAAGUAUUUAACUCAAUACCUUCUUAUUGAUUUUUUAUAAAAAUUAGUUAGCAUGUUAAAUUUUUUAUAUAUUGAUGUGUAAAUAUAUAUCACAUUAAUAGGAUUCGGGGAAGGACCACAUCCCCAAGAGAUGUGAUGUGAAUAAUUCCAUGGGAUACACUUUAAAAUUUGCCUUGAAGGCAAGAUGCAAAACAAGUUGUGUCCCAUAGGCAAAAGUUGACACUAGCUAAUUCUGCAAUGAUUCGACAGAUGAUCUACAACACUUUCCCUAGAGGCAAGACUUAAGCCCCAAAGAAACAAGUUAUGCCCUAUGGGCAAGAGUUGACACUAACUUAGUGUGUAAUAACUUGGCAGAUGAUCUACAGCUCGUGCCCUAGAGGGAAAAAUUAAUACAACAAACGGACAAGUUAUGCCCCAUGGCCAAGCGUUGAUACUAGAUUAGUGUGUAAUGAUUUGGUAGAUAAUUUAUAAGUUUUGCCCAAGAGGUGAGAUUUUUAGACCCCAAAGGAACAAGUUAUACCCCAUGGGUAAGUUGACACUAGCUUAUUCUGCAAUGAUUCGGCAGAUGAUCUACAACACUUUCCCUAUAAGCAAGACUUAAGCCCCAAAGAAACAAGUUAUGCCCUAAGGGCAAGAGUUGACACUAGCUUAGUGUGUAAUAACUUGGUAGAUGAUCUACAGCUCGUACCCUAAAGGCAAAAAUAAAUACAACAAACGGAUAAGUUAUGCCCCAUUGCCAAGCAUUGAUACUAGAUUAGUGUGUAAUAAUUUGGUAUAUAAUUUAUAAGUCUUGCCCAAGAGGCAAGAUUUUUAGACCCUCAAAGGAACAAGUUAUGCCACAUGGGCAAGAGUUGACACUAGCAUAGUCUAUAAUGAUUUGGCAGAUGAUCUAUAACUCUUGCCCUAGAGGUAAGACUUACACAUCAAAGGUGGUUCAACUCGCAAUUUUUCAAAGAACAUUCUUUCUCUACCAUACAAGAUAUGUUUAUAGGAAUAUUACAAUCUUACAACCAUAUGGCAAUCAAUCUUCUAGACCAAAAACUAAAAUACUAUAAGCCAAGAACAAAAGCAAUAAAUAUUAAAAAUUACAAAAAGAAAAAUUGCGAGUAGAAAAAAAAAUGAAACCAAUCAACAAAAUCAAGCAUCUAACUAAAUAAAUAAAAAUGGAGAACCAACUACUGAGGAGGAGUAGAUGACCCUUAGAUUACAAGGUCUAAACUGUUUCUUAUUUUAUGCCAUUUAAUCGAGGACAAAUGUGAUUGAAAAUUUCACAAUGAUCAAAAUACUCAUGUAGCAGUCGCAUAUAAUUAAUGAUAAGACAACCUCCAUAGGAAUAAAUUAUACCUCAUGGGCAUGAAUUGGCCCUGCCACUUUGUUUACUAACUUUGAAGAUACUCAAUAACUCUUGCCUCAGGGGAAAGACUUUCCACAAGGAAAGGCAAAAAAUAUUCUUCUAUAAUAAAACAUAAAUAUACAAAGAUACCAACAAAUGAAUCAAUAACGAUUCUACAUUGUAUACUUUACAUUAUUGCAUAAAAAAUAGCCGAUUCAAUUUGAAAAGACUGUUUAAACUUUACAUAAUCGCAUAAAAAUAGCUAAAACUCCUUCAUGUUCAGUGAUUUUCAGUAACUACAAAACUAAACUACUACUCCUGGUGCGUCCUCUUCCUUUUUUCCUUUCUAAAUAAUCUGUCAACUUUUUCUGUAGUGUUGUCUUUUAUACCAACUUCUAGUUUUCUCUUUCCAUAAUCCCACAACAAAGCUCCAUACCUCAUGCGAACAUAACCAAUGUCAAUCUAUUUAGGAAUAUCUCUACCAUGAAUGACAUAUUCAGCAAACGCACAAAUAAAUGCUCCACAAUCAUUGUGAUACAAAAGAGAUAUAUUACGUGAAUAUAUGGAAAACAACAAAAAAAGAAGUGAAAUGAAUAUUUAAAAAAUGAAUGCAAUAAGAUACCAUUGAGUUUGUUGUGGCAACUCAUCAACCAUUUUUAUCGAAAGUGUCAUUUUUAGAUUUUUCAAUGCCCUUCUCAAGAUAGAAAUUGACCUUUUUUAGAAAAUACGGUAUCAAUGUUUGGUAAGGUAACAUCACUUUUUGAACAACUUUAUCACUGCGCCUGGUACGGUUGAAGUCAUAUACAUAUAUGCACUAAUCAGUAAAGUCAAAAACUCCCAAAAGUCAGUGUCGAAGUUCAGAUUUUUCUCGUGGAACAUAAAUUGCAAAUAAAAAAUUUGUGAAAGCUUGAACAAAAUUGAAUAGCAGUUUAUGAAUCCACAAGUUAAGUGUUCCUUCCAGAUCAAGAGAAAAAGCCUUUGAUAUUGGAGUCAUUGAAUCUUUUGCAGUUUUUUCCGUCAACUCAAGUGCUCCAGCAAUUAUUGUUGUUUCAUCAUAUGUCAAAUCCCCUCAUUUUUCAGUCUGUCAUAGCAAUAAGGAACAAACAAGCUGAGGCAUACAAUAAAAGGAACAUAAUGAAUUGAAAACGAGGUUCAACUAGCUAUAGCACCUAAUCUUAGUGAGAUGAACUUGGUCGUGUAAACGGAUUGUGUUCAUGCAUAUAUACAAAAAUAUUGCAUGUCCAGAGAUAUAUUUACACUUGCUUAGAUUAGCAUUAAAAAUUGGAAAAUACUGAACAAAUUAUCUCAUUGCCAUGAAAAUUCACAACCAAGGAUGAAGUUAAGAUCCCUUUUAUUUAUCAAGCCAACUACAAGAUCGUUAACAACAGAAAGUAGCAUUGAGAAAUUCUCUCAAAUUGCUGCAUGAGGUUUUGGCUUUCUUUUUUCCAAUUCUAAAGAUGAAUAUCCGUGUAUCUUAAUAAAGAAACUGAUGGAUAUUUUACAUAUCAAAUUAUUAGCAUGAGAAUUUUCUCAUUUAUAGUAAUAACAAAAAAUAAAUAGAGAUAGGAAAAUAGAGUAACUGUGAUAUUAUUACUAAUUUUCUCCUUUCGUUCGGAUUUACUUGUCACUAUUUUCCUAAUUUAAUUUUCAUUUUUACUCGUCAUUUUUGACAAAUCAAGAAAAAACAAAAUAAAAAAUUUCAUGUUUUACCCUUAGCAUUAAUUACUUAUUCUUGAAAUCAUUUCCAAUACCUAUUACUAAACAUAAAUUGAUAGCGGUAAUAUUGUAAAGUCACUAUACCAAUCAUUGUUUUCUUAAUAGGUGUGCCACGUCAAAAUGUGACAAGUAAAUCCAAAUGGAGGGAGAACAUAACCAAGGAACUCCGCCAUUUUACUUUAUGUUGUAUUAUUUCCAUUUCUUUCCAAGCUACAGAAAAGGAACAAAGCAUACAAAUUAACCACCGUAGCGUAUAUGAGUACAAAUCAUGAAUUCAUGUAGUUUUAUUUCUUAAACCCUGUCAUCUAACUUGGAUUGCGAGUACAAGGUGGCAACCGAACACACAGCUGGUGAAGCAUCUCUCUCUCUCUCGUAGCAAAACAUGGAAACUUAACAACUCUACAUAAGUAAAUUAUAGAAUGUGAUUGUUGUGCUUUAUACCUUACUAAUUGAAUAAGCAAUGGGGAAGAAUAACUAGAGAAGAAGCUGAACAAGGGGUGUUACAUUGGCUCCAACUGUCAAUCCAUAGCGAGUACAGAUUGAUUGAGGAAUUAUCUGCAAAUGUAAAAGCGACGAACCUAGUUAGAGGACAAGAGCCGAGCAAAUUCCAUAGCUAACAAGCUGAAAGGUUAAGUUGAUGAAUAGAAUGGAACACCUCUCAGAACAUGAGAAUCAGUGUAACAAAUACUAGUAUUGUUGUCCACAACGGUACAAGCUUGUCCAAUAAUAUAGGAAGAGACUAUAAUGGAAAAGGAGAAAAGUAAUAAAUAAGUCGACAGUGGUAAUAAAAGGAUAACUAUUGCCAAAUAAGUAUUGGUACACAAACCUCCAUUACUAAGAAGUUGCCGAUCAAGAGUGUCCAAAGCAAAAGAUAUUGGUUUUUUACCACCCCAAGUAUUUUAGCUGUAAAAGAAAGGGAAGAAUACUGUAAAAGGCCGAUCAAAGCAGACAUAGGUACAACUCAAAUUAUGCCACAACACUGCUUCUCUUCUAACUUAUUCCACUGUAAGCCGUAUUCUAAUAUGGGUGGUUAUUGAUACAAUUGUAGGCUCAUGAUACGUAAAGUGGUUUAACUUUUGUAAUUGUGUAUUCUAGGUAUGACAAGAAUCAUGUACCUUUUUCUUUUACUUUUUCAACUAUUCAAAUACCUUUGCUUGGGUACAUAAUCGAUGCAUCAUUCCUUUAUUGUAAGUUUAAUUCCACUGUUUACUUUGCCAUAACCAUAUCAAAGCAUUUCUAGACAGUUUAUUCAGUUUCAAAGAAAAAAUUCACUCUCUUUUACUUACUCAUGAUUUAUAGACACCUUGCCUAAGUCAACAUUCAACCUUUUUCAAAAUUUCUUUGAUAUUUUGGGGUAGCCAAUUCUAUACAUAUAUUUACCCAGUUGAACGAUUUAAAAGAAAAAGUCUGACUAGAGCAUAGAAUAAGCAAGAGGAAAUAGAACUUCAAGAAUUAAACGUAUAGAAAAAUUUAUAGCUUUACACCAAAGUUACAAAGUAGCAGCUAGAUAUUUAGCUAAUCAACUACUGAAACAACAUCGUUCAAAGGGGUGGAGGCCGGAUUUUCAUCAUCUUCAGUGUAUACACAACAAAGAGAAUUUUUGACCUUGUAUAUACAUAUACAAUAUGAAUUUUUGACAAAGGGGGUCCAACUGACCCCUUCUACCUGCACAAGGUAGGGGUGCAUACACUAAACCCUCCCCAAACUCCACUUGUGGCUUGUGGAAUUAUACUUGGUAUGUUGUUGUUGGUCCGAAUGACCCCCUUUCGCCCCUCUAACUAUACACCUGGCUCUACUAGUGAAUAGAAAAGUUACAACUUUACACCAAAGUUACAAAGAUAGCAGGUAGAUAUUAGCCAAUCCAAACUACUGACCAGUAUUAGUGAAAGUUGGAUAUUCAUCAAGGGUAUUCAUCAUCUACAAUAUACAUAUAAAAAUAGUUUUUGACCUUAUAAUAUGACAUGAAUUUUCGCCAAUGCACAACCUCUACUUAACUCUGCCCCUAGCUCUACUAAUGAAGUAAACAACAAGAAUAAAGAAUAAGACAUCAAACUUCCAUGAAAAACAAGCAAACAAACAAUAAAAAUCUAAACCAACAAACUUUAGCACUUCCUAAUAAACCUAAACAAAACUACUGAUCAAUAUUAGCAAAAGUUGAAUUUUUACCAAGACGUUCAUCGUCUACAACAUACACAUAAAAAUAAUUUUUUUAAGCCUGUAUCCCAAGAACCAGAAUAAAUAUAACCAUUACAAACAACCAAAUAAAAAAUACUGUCAGCAUGUUUGACCCACUAGAAGAAAGGGAGGAACAAAACAAAGGACCAGUCAAAAGCACAUUACAAAUAUAGAUUAGGAUAACAAGUGAUAAUACCGUGUCAUUCAAAAGUCGACCACAAGUUGAAAGUGAAUAAAACCACUCCUUCGAAUCCACAACACAAGAGCCAAACAUUAAACAUUCGGGCAACACAAUUUUGAGAAAUGAGAGAUCUGUGGGUCGAAGCUUUCUUUCCUACAUGUGCCAUUGAUGAAUCCCAACUUGUUUCUUCCAAGUAUGUCAAUUCUCAUCGAUUCAACCCUCAUAAUAGUUUUUAGAUCUCGCUAAUUGAAUGAAAAUCAACAUAACUCCAGACAGAUCUGAUGCAUUCAGAUACAAUUGAUGAUUAUGACUCAAUUUCUUGGGCAAUUCAUUAUCUAUCACAACCACCACUGUUACUCCUACUAGCUUUCUUAAUUUUUCUCCUCGAUUAUCUUAACUUAGAUCAUAUCAAUAGUCAAUAGCUCUUAUACCAUGAUGUAAAAGAGGAUCAAGAGAAAAAAGAGAAAUAAGGAUAAUCUUCAAGGUGAACCAAGUCGUGAUCCAAUGGUUGGUGAUUAAUAUCGUGAGUCUAUUUGAUUGAAAUCGUAUGAAGAGAAAGAGGAGAAAGAGAAAGAGUAUUUGAGAAAUGAGGAAAAAGGAUAAACAACGAGAAUGAAUAUUUGAGAAAAACUGGGAAAAAAAAGAGAAAUAAAAAAACUCUAAAUAAAGGUUAAAGACAUAUAAAUUAAAAAAAAAGAAAAAAAUGAAGAAAUAGAUAAUGGUUGAGAAAAAAGAACAUGAGAAAAAAAUAAAGGUUGAGACAAAUAAAUUAAAACAUGAAAAUAAAGUUAAAGGAAAAAAUAAAAACUGAAAAUAAUAAAAAAACAGAAUAAUAAAUUUAAAAUAAAAAAUAAAAAAGUGAAAAAAAAAAGAAUAAUAAAAGUAAAGGAAAAAUAAAAAAGUGAAAAUAAUAAAAAAUAAAAUUUGAGAGAUAAAUGCGUAUGGAAAGUUUAAAAAUAUAUUUGAGGUGUAGAUGGGCAAAAUGAUACUUUUAGUAUAUUAAAAAGUAAAGAAGACUAUUCUUCAAAACAUUCUUAUUUAAGGUCAAAUAUCUAAAAUCAUUCAUAUUUGGGUCUAUGAUAUGCAAUUUGCUGUACAAAGCAUAGAGACGCCAUGUAUUUUGAUACUAAUCUGGCUAGUUGAUAUACAAGAUUCACGUAUUUGUAUUUCUAAAAAAUCUAGCAACAUAAAUCACCACAAACACAUGUCAUAUACGUAUAUUCAUACAGUAGUAUAAUUUUAGUUGUUGACUACUUCAUACAGUUUAAUCUUUUAUAUAUCUUCAUACUCUCAAACAUUCAGAUUGCAUAUACAAUCAGAAAACAUAUAAAUCGAAAUAUCGAAUUUCCAUAACAAACUAUAAUUGUUUAUAAUAGAUAUGGAUCUUUUAUUUAUUUUUCUACAUCAGAUAGUUUUCCCUUAAUUCAAUAUGUUCCUAUUAAGCCCAAUUCAACUAUUUGUCAACCUAUUUUCGAUUAAGAUACACAUUUUCAAUCAAUUUGGUGUUAAUGAGAAGAGAUUUGUACGACCUCUUUGACUUGACCUUUGAAUUCAAACAAGCUCCCCAAACAAGCUAGAGUUCUCAUUUGAAAAGUAUUAUCUAGAAAUAAUUAAAGACCAUUAAAUUUGGGGUUAAAAAAAUAACUGUCCUCGAGCGUUUUAAAUUUACCAUAAUUAAAAUGAGACAAAAAUCCCCCCCAAAGCCCUUUUCUUUAUUCUUUUUUCUUAUCCACUUAACCAAGGUCAUAUACUAUAAUCGUUUUUAAAUACUUAUCAUUCUUAUUAAAAUAGUUGAUCCACAAUAAUUGUUAUUUUAAAAAAAAUCAAGAUAAAAUUAGUUAUUUGUUUUCAUCUUUAUGCUUAAUCAUAAAUAUGAAGAUAUAUUAAUGUGGCGCAAAAAAAAAAGAGAAGUAUUAAAUUGAAAGGAAGAAUAAAUAGGAAUAAUAUAUAUAAAAAGAAAAUGACAAAGUAUUUAGAAAUUGAGGAAAUAAUAUAUGUAAAAAGAAAAAUAAAAAUAAAUUAGGUUCAAGAAGAAACAUCAAUUAACAUUUAACACCUAAUUUUUCUAUUGUGUUUCCUUUUCUUCUAUAAAAAGAAACAUACACCAUCAAUCACAACCACCAUAACGUGAACCAUCCAUUUCACAAUAUAAUAAAAAGAUACCUGAACUUCCUCACCAACAAAUCAAUCAAAGGCAAAAAACAAUUCUCCAACAACAGUAAUCUUCUUCCUUCUCCCCCCCCUUGAAGAAAAAUAAAAUUGUGAACAAUAAUUCAUUAUUUGUUUUUCUUCUUGAGGUGGUGAAGUACAUACAUAUAACAUAACAAUGAGUCUUGAAGGUCCAUUGGAGUCAAAUACAAAUAUUAAUUAUCAGCCUGCUGAUCCAAAAAGACUUGGAGGUAAACCCAAACUUUCUCGAAGGGUUAGUGAGAAAUUUGAAGUCGGAAUGGAGAAAACGAAAAUGGCAGCAUCUGCAGGAAUGAAGAAAGUUAAACAAAGUGCAAGUGUUAGUGCUAAUUGGAUCAAGGUUAAGUGUAACAAGAAUAAGCUUAACAAGAAUUAAUCAAUUAUAUUGUGGAGAUGAUCAUGAUAUAUUAAUUGUUUAUUUUAUUUUUAAAAUUUUAUUGGAUCUCAAUAGUGUGCAUAUUUUUUGUUCUUGUUUGAUCUUUUCUUCAUAUCUCUUUUUCUAGAUUCCUACAUUGUUCAGAAAAUUUAUUGUGAGUUUUUUUUGAGAAUUGUAUAUGUAAUCAUUUUUAAUAUUUUAUUGACAAUUACAGUUUUCCUUCUUCGGUCUUGCUUGUCUAUCCAUUCCCUGCCACUGAAGUAGCUUCCUCCAUACAAUUGAUGACACAAUGCAAUCAAAGAAUAGGUGUAAUGCUUUCUAGGCAACACCACAAAGUGGACACAUGCAGGAUCAACGGGGAGCCCCCAACCUGCUAGUCUAUCUCCAGUAUAAAGUUUACCAUGGCCAACUAGGUUAAGGAUAAACAACCAUUUGGGAGCACUGGGGUAGUUGCAAAUCAUUCUUCUCCACGAAACUUUAGGAUGCUGACCGAGCACUUUCAAAUACAUUUUCUUUGAUAGAGAAGUGCUUGAGUGAGAUCAAAUCAAGUCCAUUCAUACCAACUGCCUUUAUAUACUUUUUUGCUUUGAAAAUCUUUUGUACCAUCCACCACGUUUGUUUGGGAUAAACAUUCCAUGUUCAGCCCUCUGUCCCGUGGUACCAUAUGUAUCCACCUUAUCCAUAGAGCAUCCUUCUCUUUGCUCAAACUCCAUAAAAGCUUGCAUAGAGCUGCUCUAUUCCAGACAUAAAAGCUUAGUAGAUUAAAGCCACGUGCAACUUUAGGGAGGCAAAGCUUCUCCCAAACUAUUAGGCCUUUUCAUGAUGUGUCACUACCUCCCGUUCAUAGGUAAGUUCUACAUACUUUUUCUAUCACCUGCAAUAUCUUCUUAGGCAAGAAGAACAACUUGGACCAGUAUGUUUAAAUAGAAAAAACAACCGACUUUAGUAGUUGGAGUUGCUUAACAUAUGACAGCAUCUUUGAGGUUCAUGAGGUUAGCUUUCAAGCAUUUUAUUGAUUAAGGGUUGGAAUUUGAUGAUUGAUAGUCUCUUGGAGCUCAAUGGUACACCUAGGUACUUGAUAGGCAGGUCACCUUUUGGGAUGCCUAAUAGUUGGUCUUGCACAACUUGUUUGAUCCCCCCGCCCCCAAAGUAGAUAAAACACUUCUAUAAGAGCUUGUAGGCCCGACGCUUUCGAGAAUAGCGUGAAGCAUUGGAAUAGAGAUCGAACUGAAUCAAGGUCCCCUUUGCAAAAGAGAAGUAGAUUGUCUAUGAAACUUAAGUUGAAUGAUAUUCAUAUAUCCUAUCACAUCGAGGAUGAAAAAUGAAGGCAACAUUAGUUUACAGUGUCUUCAGGAGCCUGUUCAAGUCUUCCAUUUGGAGUACAAAUAGGAAAGGAGACACGGGGUCUCCUUGUCUCAGUUAAGAAAGACGGGCAUACAAUCAAAGAGCCCGACAGGGUAGCAGGGGAAAAUACCCAACACUAAACUUUCCCUUUCAACUUGAACCAAGAGGAGACAAAUAAAAUCAAGCAAAAUAGAGUAAUAUACAGCAAAAAAAUCAAUCAAAUGAAACAAGAUAAGAAUAAAGGCAAUCACAUGAGACACAAGAUUUACGUGAAAAACCCUUCAGUGUGAAGAGUAAAAAACCACGGGACCAAAACCUCCACUAUAAUGACCAAAGAUUUAAAAUAUUGUCCUCCAAAAUGGCCACCAAAAAAGUGCCAAACAACAAGAAACAAUACAUAAUCCACAACACCAAACACUAGAGAAAUAAAGGAGUGAAAACACAAAAAAUGCAGCUACUGUUCGGGGAUGAAGAACAGGAGCUAUAGGCCACCAAAUCAAGCUCCGUCAGUUCCUAAUCAAAUAUUGAGAUGAGAGGAACAAGCAGUCCAAAAAUCAGCUCAAUCAAACAAGAAACGAAGCGAGAAUCGCAAUUUGAAGUUGACAGCUGUGGCUGAAAUUUAGGUGUGAAAAUCAGCUUUGUUUUUCUCUCUUUGGCUGCUGAAAACUCUCUUUUUGUGAUGGUGAAUAAGACCUAAAAAGAUCAAUAUAUAUGCCCCAUAGUAAUGGGCCUAUGGGAAAAAGUGGGUUGGUCCAAAUUGAGCUUCAUUUAUCCGCAUAGGAAGGGAAAAAGACCCAAUAACCCAACAAUUCUCCCCCUCCUCCCAACUAUGUGGAGGAGACCACCAUCCUGACGAUCAUGCAACAAUCUUCAAACUUCCCUCUUGGAAAAGAUUUAGUCAUCAUGUCGGAACCAUUAUCAUCCGUAUGAAUCUUCUCAAGUUUAAGCAAUUUAGAAUCCAACAUCUCCCGAAUCCAAUGGUAUCUCACAUCAAUGUGUUUAGACCGACCAUGAAAUGUAGAAUUCUUGCCAAGAUGUAUGGCACUUUGACUGUCGCAAUAAAGCACAUACCUCUCUUGAGCACAACCAAGUUCCCCCAAGAAUCUCUUCAUCCAAAGCAAUUCUUUACAAGCUUCAACGGCAGCAAUAAGCUUAGCUUCUGUAGUAGAUAGAGCAAUACAUUUUUGUAACCUAGAUUGCCAAGACACAUCUCCCCCUGCAAAAGUAAUCAAAUACCAUGAAGUAGACUUGUAAGUAUCAACAUCACCGGCCAUAUCUGAAUCAGUAUAACCACAAAGAGUCGGCUUCCCUAUACCAAAACACAAACUCAAACUAGAAGUGUCACAAAGAUAUCUCAUAAUCCACUUUACAGCAUCCAAUGUUCUCUUCUCGAAUUAGAAAGAAAACGACUAACAACGCCAACAGCAUGAGAAAUAUCCGGUCUUGUGCAAACCAUUGCAUACAUCAAACUACCAACAGCUGAAGCAUAAGGAACUUUCUUCAUAUCUUCCUUCUCAUCAUCACUGGAAUGACACUGCUUCGUGCUCAACUUGAAGUUCAUAGCUAAAGGUGUACUGACAACCUUAGCCUUGUCCAUGUUAAACCUUCGAAGUACUUUCUGAAUAUACUUCUCUUGUGAUAACCACAACUUCUUGGCCUUUCUGUCACGGAUAAUCUGCAUACCAAUAAUCUGCUUUGCUGGUCUUAAAUCUUUCAUAGAAAAAGACUUACUCAACUCUUGCUUCAAUUUUUGAAUUCUGCAAGUAUUAUGACCAACAAUAAACAUGUCAUCAACAUACAACAACACAAUAAUAAAGUCACCAUCAGAGAAUUUUUGCACAAAAACACAAUGGUCUGAAGUAGUCUUCUUGAAGCCCUGCUGACUCAUAAAGGAACCAAACUUCCUGUACCACAAGCUCUUCUUCAAUUUGUAAACAUAAUUCUCUUUUCCCUUGACUUCAAAACCUUCGGGUUGCUCCAUAUAAAUGUCUUCAUCUAAGUCACUAUGGAGAAAAGCAGUUUUAACAUCCAUUUGCUCAACCUCUAAAUCUAGACUUGUAGCUAAGCCUAGAACCACAUGAAUGGAUGAUAUCUUUACAAUCGGAGAAAAUAUCUCAUCAAAAUCAACUCUUUUUUUCUGGUUAAAUCCCUUCACAACCAAUCUAGCUUUGUACCGUGGAAUUGGAUUACCAUCUUCAUGCUUCACCCGAAAGACCCACCUAUUUUUCAAAACUUUUCUAUCUUUAGGCAGCUUAACCAAAUCAAAGGUAUGAUUAUCUUGCAAAGAUUUAGUUUCAUCUUCCAUAUCAUCAAAUCAUUUUUCUUUUUCUUCACUUUCCAUGGCCUCAUCAAGACUCUCAGGUUCUCCCCCGUCAGUCAAGAGUACAUACUCACUAGGAGAAUAAUGAGAUGAAGGUAUUCUCUCUCUUGUAGAUCGUCUGAGAGAACUCUCUGGAGCAUCAACAGCUGGUUGCUGAUCAACCAUAUCAACUUGUACUGGAGCAUCAACAACUUUUUGCUGGUCAUUCUGAACAUGAUCAUCAUCUUUAUUUUCAUCUUGAUUUUCAUCAUCAUGAAGAUUUUCUUCAAGAGCAGUAGUCAAAGGAACUGGAUCAACAUCAACUAGGCUCUCACUACUCUGAGAAUCAACCUUCUCAGCUUUGUCAAAAUCUUCAAUUAUUUAGUCUUCAAAGAACACAACAUCGCAGCUUCUAACAAGUUUCUUCUCAUCUGGAUCAUAGAAAUGAUAUCCAAAUUUAUCUUGACCAUAACCAAUGAAGAUACACUGUCUAGUUUUAACAUCCAACUUUGACCUUUCAUUCUUAGAAACAUGCACAAAAGAUUUACACCCAAAGACUCUAAAAUGAUCAUAAGAAACAUUCUUACUAGACCAAACUCUAUCAGGGACAUCACUAUUCAAAGCAAUAGUAGGAGAUAAAUUGAUGACAUAAACAACUGUAUUAAGUGCUUCUGCCCAAAAUGAAUCUGGCAGCUUAGCAUCUGAAAGCAUACAUCUAACCUUCUCAACUAAUGUUCUGUUCAUCCUCUCUGCUAAGCCAUUUAACUGAGGAGUCUUGGAAGGAGUUUUCUGAUGCCGAAUAUCCUGUUCUCUACAAUAUCUAUCAAAAGGACCAAUAUACUUACCACCAUUAUCUGAAUGGAUGCAUUUCAAUUUUUUCCAUAUCUGUCUUUCAACCAAGGAUUGAAAAUUCUUGAACAUAUCAAGUACUUGAUCCUUGGACUUCAAAGAAAAUACCCAAAGUUUGCGAGAGUGUUCAUCAAUAAAAGUCACAAAGUAAAGUGCACCACCAUGAGACCUUACUUUAAAAGGAACGCACAAAUCAGAAUGCACCAACUCCAGUAAAUCAAGCUUUCUUGAAGGCGGAUGACUCUAAAAAGAAACUCUUUUCUGUUUAUUGGCUAAGCAAUGAACACACUUCUUCAACUUUGCUGGUUUUACUCUAGAAAGUAAAUUUUUCUUAGCCAAACUAUCAAUCCCCUUCUCACUCAUAUGAGUCAACCUUUUAUGACACAACUCUGAUGAAGUAUCAUUCUCUACCAAGUUUAUCAAGCCUCUAGAAGUAGAACCCUGAAAUACGUACAAGUUAGACAACUUGUCACCUCGAGCCACAAUCAUCGAACCUCUAGUAAGCUUCCACUAGCCAGCACCAAGGGUAUUAACAUAACCCUCAUCAUCAAGACUUCCUACAGAAAUCAAAUUCAAGAAAACAUCUGGAGCAUGCUUGUUAUUAUUGAGAACUAAUUUGGAACCAUUGUUACUUUCUAAAUAAAUCGUGCCAAUGCCAAGUACUUUAACUUUAUCAUUAUUGCUCAUUUUCAACAUCCCAUAAUUACCUGGAGUAUAAGAAGAAAAUAAUUUCUUCUUUGGCGUAACAUGAGAAGUAGCACCAGAAUCCACAAACCAGCUAAACUCAUCGCAAAUAAGAUUAAUGGCAUUCUUACCAAAAGCAACAAGAAGAUCAUCAUUAGCAAUAACAGCAACACGAUUUUCAUUCUCGCCUUCUUUGUUUUGUCGUCUGAUAUCUCUCUUAUGCUUGUAACAAUAUUUCAUGAUAUGCCCCUUUUUGUUGCAAUAGUCACAUGUAACAUUCUUGAAUUUGGACCUUAACAUGCUUCUACUUUUAUCUCUAUCAUUUGAAUCUCUGAACUUAUUUUUUCUUCUCUCUUUAGUAACCAAAAUAUUAGAGUGUGAAGAUGAAGAAGAUGAGGCCUGAGAUCUUCUUCUCAUCUCUUCAUUCAAGACACCACUCUUAACAUAUUCAUAGUUACAAUACCACCGGGAGCAGAAUUAGUCAAAGAAACUUGAAGAGUUUCCCAAGAGUCAGGUAGAGUAUUAAGAAGCCAAAGUCCCUAAAUUUCUUCAUCGAACUUUACACCCAUUCCGGACAGCUAGUCAAGGACACCCUGAAAAUCAUUUAUAUGAUCAGAAAUAGGACUGCCCUCUUUAUACCUAAUAUUCAUCAAUUUUUUAAGCAGGAAAAACUUGUUAUUUCCAGUCAUCGAAGCAUAAAGUGUCUCGAGCUUGUCCCAUAAACUUCUAGCAUGUGUAUCAUUCACAAUAUAAUUUCUAACAUUAUCUUCAACCCAUUUUCUGAUAUAACCACAAACCUGUAAGUGCUUAAAUUCCCAAUUCUCAUCUAUCAUGGAUUCAGGUUUAGUAGAUGCAAACACAGGUAGAUGCAUGUUCUUGACAAAUAGAAGAUCUUCCAUCUUGCCUUUCCAAGUAUGAUAGUUACUACCAUUCAAACACACCAUCUUGCUUAUAUUUGACUCCAUCAUUCAAAUCGACAAUCAACAAUAACCAAUGCUUUGAUAACACUUGUUAGGAAAGACGGACACACAAUCAAAGAGCCCGAUAGGGUAGCAGCGGAAAAUACCCAAGACUAAACUUUCCUUUUCAACUUGAACCAAGAGGAGAUAGAUAAACCCAAGCAAAAUAGAGUAAUAUAUAGAAAAAAAUCAACCAAAUGAAAUAAGAUAAGAAUAAAGACAAUCACACGAGACACAAGAUUUAUGUAAAAAACCCUUCAGUGUGAAAGUAAAAAACCACGGGAUCAAAACUUCCACUAUAAUCACCAAAGAGUUACAAUAUUAUACUACAAAAUGGUCACCAAACAAGUUUCAAACAACAAGAAACAAUACAUAAUCCACAGCAUCAAACACUAGAGAAAUAAAGGAGUGAAAAUACAAAAAAUGCAGCUACUAUUCGGGAAUGAAAAAUAGGAGAUACAAGCCACCAAAUCAAGAUCCAUCAGUUUCUAAUCAAAUAUUGAGAUGAGAGGAACAAUUAUUCCAAAAAUCAUCUCAAUCGGACAAGAAACAAAGCGAGAAUCGCAAUUUGAAGUUGACAGCAGUGGCUGAAAUUUAGGUGCGAAAAUAAGCUUUGUUUUUCUCUCUUUGGCUGCUGAAAACUCUCUUUUUGUGAUGGCGAAUAAGACCUAAAAAGAUCAAUAUAUAUGACCCAUAGUAAUGGGCCUAUGGGCAAAAGUGGGUUGGUCUAAAUUGGGCUUCAUUUAUCCACAUAGGAAGGGAAAAAGACCCAAUAACCCAACAAUCUCAUCCCUUUCGAUGGGAUACCAUUGAUGACAAUCGAGUAGGACACAUGUACAGUGGAUAUGUAACACAUGAUCUAUCUCACAAAAUUCUCAAUAAAGUGGAGGUUCACAAGAAAUUGCUCCAGGUAGACCUAGUCAAGAGAGUUGUAGGCCUUCUGAAGAUCUACUUUAAGCAUGGACCUAGGAGAAAUGCCUGUCCUCAUGUAUCUUUUGAUAAGUUUAUGGUUGAGAAUUAUAUUGUCGGAGAUGAAUAUUCUAUGGAUAAAUGUUACUUGGAUUCCAUCAAUCAAGCUUUCUAUAAUUGUACUUAUUCUACUAGUUAUGACUUGGCUAUAAGUUUGUAUAUAAUAGUGCAACAUGAGAUAGGUUGAUAUUCCUUAAUGGAGGAAGGAUUCUUGAUUUUGGGAAUAAAAGUUACAAAGGUAAAAUUGAUGGCUUUGGUCAUGUUGGCACUUCUGAAGAAAUCUAGUAUAGCUUCAAUGACUUUGCUGCCCACAAUGCACCAUGUUCUUUUGUAAAAAUAAGCAUUAUAUCCAUCACAACCAGAUGCCUUGUUAUCAUUUAUGACAUUAAGGGCUUCUAUCACCUCAGUCCUGGUUAUUGGGGCAAUCAAAUACAAUUGAUGUUUUCUAUUUAGAACAUUACCAAUUUGCAUAAUACCAGUAUAUAUUGACACAUGUUAGAGUACCUGCCCUACCGAUUAUCUUAUUUUCACCUAAUUGUUGCCUAUCGAUGAAACAGGUUAACUAACAUGUUCCGAACUAGCUAAAAUAGUAAGAAAAUAAAGCAAUGGAUUUUUACGUGGAAAACAUCCGACUCAAAAAGGUGUUAAAAACCACGACCUGUACCUCUACAGGAUUUAACCCCAACUUCAUUACACAACAAUGAGCCUCAACAAUAACUUAUUACAAAACUUUUGUAAUCUAGGAAUUAUAAACUCUAAUUCCUACAAAUCAACAACUAGGAAUUAUAAACUCUAAUUCCUAACUACACACACACAGCCUAAGGUAUGCGUUCCCAAAGUCUCUGACUUUUUCUCAACUCGAAGACUAGCCCCUAGUUCAGUUUAUAACACACUAAAACUAAUAUUAAAUCAAUAGCUCAACAUAAUGAAAAACUCCUAAAAAUCAAUGCUAAAACUCUUAACCGAAUCUCUAUACUAGGACCAGGUUAUUUAAUGUAUCUCUUCAGUGAUUAAGUAGCACUUCGUGAAGUCAAUCUGUUGAUUGUCCUUUUCAGCUUUGUAAGUGCGUUAAUGAUUAUGUGAAUCACUUUCUCUAUUUAACAGCAACUCUUAAAAGAGUCCUUUAUGUCAUCAAUCUUCUACCUUCAGUUGGACUCUUCAACUCAUCAGAGUUUGUUGUCAAGUCAAAGUCUUUCUUCAAGUCAAACUCCUUAUCUAAGUGAAACUCUUUCUUUCACUUAUCUUCACGUGUUGUGCUCAAACAUCACUUCUUAAAGUUUUAGAAUCUUUCUCCUUCUACACAUAGGACUCUUCAAGAUAUGGUAAAAAAUGAAACGCCUUCUUCCCAUAGGACUCCUUUUCUAACUCAACUUGCUUUCCCAUAUUAUCAAGUGUUUGAGUCAAUAUUCAACUUCUUCUAUUUAUCACAUGAUCAGUAACUUGGGAUAGUUUGACAUUUAGACACUUUCAAAACUUAUUUUGUAAUUUAGACACAAGUCUUGGAAAAUUAGGUGUUUAGACACUAUUAUGACAUCAUCACUUCUUACAUACAAACCUACCACACAAGUUUUAAACUUUACACUUUAGUCCCCCACCUCAUCCAUUUAAUAUUUAAUAUUUCCUACCUCUUUUUAUAUUUCCACUAUUUUUUCAUAUUUCCUAUUUUAAUUUAGAAAAUUAUCCAAGAAGCCACCAAUAGGAGCUCCCUUUUUCACCAAUAAUUUUCAAUUCCAACCACUUUUUUGAUGAAAAAUUAUUCAUCACAACUGAAAAUCUCCAUUCUUCAUCAUUGCCUCCAUUGUUGUUCCAUACUUUUUGAAAAAAAAAAUGUAAACAAAAAAUUUCACCAUUUUUACUAGCUCGAAAAGCUUUCCAAAUCCGCUCAAUACCUCGUCACUAGAUAUAUUUUAGUAUUUUAGAAGUCCUACAUAUACCAUUUUCCAUCCCAGAGCUAGGAGGGCAACGAUUAUAUCAAAAAUCAAUCGAUUUGCGUCUUUGUACGGACGUAUUAAUACCAGUGAUCGACCAGCUAUAGAUCGAUACCUUAAUCUAUUAUUAAUUUGUGUGGUCUAUUAUGGUAGUAGCUGAGGUAGUUAUCAUGGGUGGUAAUUAUAUGGGUGUGUGGGAGGAGGGUCCCAACUAUUGGAAGUGGAAAUCAUCUAGCAAGGAUAUAGUGCCCAUCCCACUGCAUCACAAUUGAUCGUAUGACGACAUAGUUCUAAGCGUAAUUGAGAGCGGAGAAUUAGAAUGUGAGCCAAAGAACGUUGUGAUUAGCGAUGUAAUUAAUGGGCAGAGUAAAAUACAUCCCACGUUCAUAAAUAAUGAUCGGCAUGUGUCGUUAUAUAUGUUGGAUAUUGUUCCUGAUGGCGAUAAGCUAAUAUUGAGGAUAAAUAUCGUCCCGGGGUCUCCGACAAUCCCACCACCACAACCGACAAUUGAUGAACAUGAUUUAUUUGAAGAUGAGAGUUUGGAUACUCAUCCAAUGGAUUUGGAGGAUCAUUCAAUGGAAUUGAAAGUCCAAUUUUCUCUGAAGAAGGGGGAGAAGAAUGCGAAUUAGGAGCACAAACCAACUACACUUUCUCCGACGAAACUGAUUUUCAGGUAAAUCAAAUAUUUAGCAGCAAAAAAGGAGUUGAAAUUGUUGUUGGACAUAGCAGUUGUGAGAAAUUCUUUUGAUUAUGCUACAUUGAAGAGCUGCAGCAAAUUUCUCAAGGUGAAAUAUAUUUGUCCUAGCUGCAUGUGGAUGUUGUGGGCGAAGAAGUAUGAAUGCAUGGAUAGAUUCAUUAUCUAUAAAUACGUCGACGAUCAUAGUUACGGUGUCGAAUAUGCCACCCACCGCCAUAGAAAAAUCUCAUCUAAAGUCAUUGCGUCGCUCUGUGUGAACAAGAUAGUGAAGGAAAGGGUCCAAACACUAGCGAGAUUCAGAGGAAUAUUUUCAAGAACUUGAAAAGUAAACCAAUUAUUGAAAAUAUUGGCUGGGGGGUGUGAUUGCUAAGGAAAUAGUUCGAGGGACAGCGGAGCACGAGUAUUCCUCCCUACCCAUUUUUUUUGUACAUAAUCAACUCUCUUAAUGUUAGAACUACCUAUUCCAUCAUGGUGAACAAGGUCGAUUGUAGGUUUAUGUACUAAUUUUUAUCGUUGGGCCCUUGCAUUAGGGGAUUCGCCCACAUGAGAAAGGUUAUUGUAGUCGACGACACUUAUUUAUACGGCAAGUACGAGGGCGUGUUGUUAAGCGUGGUUGUAUAGAAUACGGAGAAUCAUAUUUAUCCCAUUGCCUUUUGUGUCAUUGAUAAGGAGAACGAUGCAUUUUGGACGUUCUUCUUUGAGAAGAUGAAGUCUAUUAUGGUGGAUGGAUCAUAUUUGUUCUUUAUCUCCGAUAGGCACAAGAGUAUCACCAAUGGCAUCGCGAAGGCGUACAACCAUGAUCAUCACAGGUACUACAAGAGGCACCUAGGUGAAAAUCUCCGGGUAAAUCACCACUGCGGAGAACACCUUUAUCUAUUCUACAAUAUGGCAAAGGCAUAUUCUCCCGAGGAGUUUAGCAACCAUUUUAUGAAAUUCAAGAACUACUGUCCCGAGGCAGAUUUUUUCCUCAAGCAUGAGCUUGGUUUUGACAAAUGAAGUAGGGCAUAUUCCUGGCAAUAGGUUUGACAUGAUGACCAAAAGUAUUGCCGAGUCAGUGAAUGCUAUGUUGAUUUCAGAAAGGGACUACCCCGUGGUAUCCAUAUUCAAUUCAAUUGCUAAGAGGUUUGGUGAAAUAUUCAGGGAGAGGCGUGCCUACGUCCUCAAAUAUAAGGAUAAUAAAUUUGUACCCGCCGCUGAAAAGAUCUUAAGGGAAAAUAUGAGCGAGGGCGGCUUCUUCUAUAUGGAGAACAUAAGCGGGGACGAAAAGGCAAUUCACUAUGUUCGGCAAUGGUUGUACGGCCAAAGUUGACCUACUGGAAAGGUUGUGUUCAUGCAGGAAAUUUGACCUGGGAAAAAUACCAUGCGAUCACGUGAUGGCUGCUUUGCGAUUGAAGUACGGUGAUGAUUAUGGUUUAAGAGUCUAUGAUUACUCUUCGCCCGUGUAUAAAGUGGAAGAGUACUUUCUUGUGUAUUCAGAAUCAAUUAAUGUUGUCCCUUUGGAGUCCGAAUAACGCGUGCCACAAGAAUUGAUAGACGUGAACAUUAUUCCACCUCUCGUGGUCACCAAGCUCGGAAGGAAGAAAAGAAAAAAGAAAAUGUGUUAAGGGCAUGGGUGAGACUUUCAAGUCGAAGAUGAGGAAUAAAUAUUCACUGUGCAAGAGACCCGGGUACAAGAGAACCACUUGUAACAACAACAAAUCAUAGUUAGACUUGUAUGAAUUUGUGUUUUUGUAAGGCAUGUCAGUGUAUGCAUUUUGACAACCCUUCACUGGUCUGAUUAAUGCCAGACUUAUCGACUUCACUCUGUGUCUAUUAUCGAUCUUUUAAGGUAUUGCAUAUAUUGUGUAUCAGGUCUAUUUCUUGUAUUCUUUAUUUAACACAUAGUUUAUUAUCAAUCCCAUGUAAGUUCUAUUAAAAAUCCUAAAUAUUUAAAGGGACAGAUGAACAAUUGAGCAUUUAUUACACAUAAAAAAAGAUGAUACACAUCCACUCACAUGUUACGUAGAUUGGGUAUACGUUACCUUUCUUCGAUUUCCACCAUUCACACGUCUACCAAUCAAUGAGCGGGAAGACCAAAGGAUUCUAUUUUGGUCUAUAUAAACACCCAUCUACUAUACCCAAAAUUCAUCUUCAUCAACUCAUAAAUUAUAUUCAAUCGACAAGAUUCCAGGAAUUCGUUUGAGACCCAGAAGAAGGAUCCACCGUAACUACGACCUUUUUCUCCUCCGCAACGACCUUAACCGGCUGUUUUAUGGACUGGGACAGGACAGGGAGCACCUCCACCGCAAACUCUGGCAGAUUGCCAAUUUUUUACGGGCGAUUGUGGAGUGUCUCAACAUGGAACAGGGGGAGAUGAACACCCCCUCACCAUCCCCUUAGUUUUAGGUUUUUAUGUUUUUUUUUUUAAUUUUAAUGUCAUUGCAAUGGGAAGCUUUCAUGGUUAGGUUUAUGUUAGAUGAAAGCUUCUUUAUUUUACAGUUUUUGCUUGGGUUUUGCUAUAAAUAUGGUUCUACCAUUGCAAUGAAGAAUGAAUGAAUGAAAUAUGUUAUUUUUCCUAUUUCUGUCUCCUUUUAAAUUUCUGUAAUUUUAAACUUGUUUGAAAUUUUGUGCAAUUUCCUCUGCUAGAACAUGAAUCAAACAGUUGUGAGAAGGCAUCGAUUAAUUCAUAUAUAAUAAUGGAAAAUUAUUUUUUUUUCUGCAUUUGUCACCACUGUAAUUUUACAGUUUUUUUCUUUUUAAAUUUUUUGCAAUUUACCAUGUUAGAAGAUGAAUGAGAUAGUUGUGAGACGUCAAAUUAAGUCAUAUACAUAAAUGAAAAACUAAUCUGAUUUAUCUGCGACUAUGUUGAUUUAUACAAAAUUAAAUGCAAAGUCGACGGGGUGUAUUUUAUACUGAUCUCAAUAUCUAUGCUCGAACAAAUACUUAAUCGAUGCAUUCAAUAACACCGGUCCAUCGAUUGUAUUCUAUGCAUUUCAUAGACUGUAAGCCUUGUCAAUAAUAUAUUGUAUUGAUUUAUUGCACUUAGUAGCAUAUUUGAAUAAAAAAGAAAUAAUUAAUCAAUAAAAUAAUAAAUAAUUUAAUUUUGUGCAACUAAAGGAGCUUGAACAAGUCAUAUGAUCGUAUGAGAGUCCACGUAAAUUGGAUAAGGUGAUCAAUGAUGUGUGAGGAUGGGUAGUGGAUGAACAAAUGAAUUCCUCACAACAUACUUGUGCUUUGGUAAUUGCCCUUAAGGAUGUUGGUUGUUCAACCACAACUUAUCACCUCACAUCUUUAAUCAGCACUUUUAAUUUAUGUGGACUCUCAUACGAUCAUAUGACCUGUUUAGGCUCAUUCAAUUGCAUAAAAUUCAAUUACUUAUUAUUUUAUUAAUUAAAUAAUUUUUUUCAAAGUAUAUGUUAGUCAUGGUCUAUAAAUAUGUGUCAUAGUCUAGUGCAUUUUUUAAUGAAGUUGUACAAACUCUAUGCUAGACUAUGUUUAGUUUUGUACUCGACCUGAUAUAGUCUAGCAUAGGCUUCAAACUACUUCCACAAAUAAAUAACUCGAUUAUGAUAUUUAUUCAUAGACCAUAACUAGUACAUAUUUUGAGAAGGAUUAAUUAAUUAAUAGAAUAAUUAAUAAUUGAAUAUUAUGCAAUUAUAUGAGUCUAAACAAGUCAUGUGCUCGUAUGAGAGUUCACAUAAAUAGAAAGUGGUGAUCAAAGAUGUAAGGUGAUAAGUUGUGGUUGAACAAAUGAAUUCUCCAUAACAUACUUGUGCUUUGGGUAAACAUUGCCCCAAGCUUGUUUGUUGUUCAUCCACUACCUAUCCUCACACAUCCUUGAUCACCUUAUCCAAUUUAUGUGGACUCUCAUACGGUCACAUGACUUGUUCAAGCUCCUUUAAUUACAUAAAAUCUAAUUAUUUAUUAUUUUAUUAAUUAAAAAAUCCUUCUCAAAAUAUGUGCUAGUUAUGGUCUAUGAAUAUGUAGCAUAGUCUAGUGCGGGUAUUAAGGAAUUAGCUCUUAGUAUAUGCUAGAGUCUCUAUCUAUUCAGUGAAUAAUCUACCAAAAGCUUAAGAAGACAUCGAUUAUAAAUAAGGUCUAUGAAACAAGACCAGCUAAAAAAAAUGAAAAUGUCAUAUUUUUACAACGGUAAUAAAGUACACGUCAAAUCAACACCCAACGAUAAUAUCUCACUUUUUUCUUAUAUAAAAAGAAGGCUAUUUUGUGUUAACACUAUCAUUUUUUUGGCUUUAAUUUUUGUUAACAACUACAAUGUCUCAAGCAUCCCAAAAAUCAAAUGCAAAAGUAUCCUACAUAUGUCAUUGAGACAAUCCAGCUAUUUUUAGGACGUCACGCAUCGAUUGGAAUCCAGGUCAAAAAUUCUUUAACUUUACGGUUGGAAAGGAUAAUAGCGGAUGCUCUUUUUUUAAGUGGCUCGACGAAGACUCACCGAUGAGCAGCCCAUCGACAUUAAAUUUUUGAGGUGCUUCCAAGUUUUAUAUACUCCAAAGGCUUCGGGAAUCCAAGAAAAUAGAUAUCUACUCAUGACAUUGCUAAAAGAAGCUGAAAAGCAAAGGGAUUACUUGAAAGGAUCACUAAAAGAAGUCGAAAUAGAGAGGGAUCAAGUAAAGCAAAGGCUGAUUUUGACCGAGGAAAAAGAGAAAUUCCUAAAAAAUUUAUUAUAUGGUUUGUUAUUAUUGUUAACUUUCUGGAAAGGUGUGAUAGGAAUAUAGGAAACUGAAUAAAUAGAUGUAAGGUUUCUUAAAUCAAUCCUGGGUGUAAUCUAUAAUUAAUAGAGAAUUAUGUCUAUGUCUUUUAUCAUUGACCUCUAUAAACCAUGAUAGUUACUGUAAGUAAAUAUAUGAAUUACUCAAUCAAUAGUCUGUUAAGUCUAUAAAUUAUAGAGAACAACUUCUAUUAUGUUUUCAAUCAACCACUAUAAAUUAGGACAAUAGCUGAACUGGUAACGCAAUCCAGCCAGCUAUUUAAUCUAAUGAGACAAUGAAAUAACUAAACAUUAUUUCAUCAGUAAAUGCCUUCAUUGACAUGUAAAAUAUAUGUAAUUAAAUUAUGCAUAAAGAACAAAUCACUAAAAAAAAAUCAUUAGGAAAUUAUUUGUUCCAAAUCCACAAAACUACUUGUUUUCUUAAUUGAGUUCCGUAACAAUGCCUAUCACGUCCACUUUUUUUCUUCGUAUUUUUUCUCCUCUUCUUCAACUUCUUUCUUCUCAUUUACAUUCUCUUCUUCUGAUGAUGAUUUUUUCUCUUUUUCAGUGUUUUCAACCUCCUGUUCGACCACUAAUUCGUCUUCAACUGCCUUCUCAUUUUUGUCUUCUUCUUCUGAUUUCUUUUCUUUAUCUUCUUUUGUUUUCUCCUCAUUUUCUUCUUCUGCUUCAGCUGUCAUCUCCUCAUCUUUUUCUUUUUCUUCUUUUUAUUCUUUCACAUCUUCUUCAUCUGUGCAUUCUUCUCUUUCAUUUCUUUUUUUUCUUCUCUUUUUCACCUUUAUCAUCUGCUGCAGCAAUGUCCGUCACUGCGACUGUAAAUUCUUUGAGGUUUACUUGAUGCCGGCUACGAGGGGGACUGUCGAGGUGCACUAUAUUGUUUUGAAAGGAUUAAAAAACAUAUGCAAGAAAAUUAAAUUGGAAGAGCAAAAAAUAAAUUAAUAUACCUUCUUCUUGUUGCUCCUUCUUAUUUUUCUUGAUUCUCCUCAGCCUCUCAUUUCUAACAAAAGAAGCAAUAUCCAGUAGACUUUAUUGAGCAAGGCAAUGUGCUCGCGCAGGUCAUCGUCAUUAGAAGCGUCUGGUAAAGUUUUGAGUCCACUUGAACCAGCAUGAUCACAAACGCAUGGUAGACUUGGAACAUAAUAGUGGCCACCCAAAUCUUCAUCUUCGUCUGCGACCUCCGCUGAUGAAGUUAGGACAAUCACGCCUUUUAGCUGUGCCUUCAACGCAUUGAUGGACGUAUCCUUAACUUCGUUCAUGUUUGGCUUAAAAGUUUUCAUGUAUCUCUGCUCCAUCUCACAGACAAUAGGGGUAAGGUACGGGUGCACAAUUUACAAAAAAAUAAAAAUAAAUUACAUGACAUUCGCUAAUAUAAUAAUAUUAACAUCAUAUCAUAAUAAGUAUAAUUUUACCUUUGUAUUAUUUCCCUUAUACUUAAAUGGGUCGUCUUCUACUAUAUUGUCGCACUUCGACGUGUGCCAUCGAAGAAGAUGGGAAAUGGGUAGGGGAGAAUCCAAUGACUUAUCGGCGUACCUUUCCAUAUGAGGAAAGGCCUCAUAUAUCCAAACCUGUAAUCAAUAGGAGCACAAGUAAGUCUACAGUGUCUAUGUAUUAUUGCAUAAAUAUGUAGGAGUCAAUAAUAAAUCAAUAAGAUGGUAGAUUAUAAGUUUCAGAAACGCCCAGGGAAAGUCAAAUAACGCGUACGAUGCAUUAUUCCUCUUGACAUAAGCUUCUUUCUGCUUGGUCAGAUCAGUUUUCUUUUUCAGAUAGGUCAAGGUCAGCUCAAAGAACUCUUUCCCCAUGGAUACCUCCCGAAGAAUUCUAAAUCAGCCUCCAUCUUGAUAUGGUUUGAAUCCACCAUCUUUGACGAGUCUUUUGCUAGCAGCAUCGCGUGCACAACCCAAACCAAAGCACACUUCAACUUUUGUUAAUUAUUCAGCCUAUUAUCUUUCAUCAGGCUAAUCAACUUUGCAGCAGUAAUAUUCUUGUUCUUCGUCACCUUAAAAUGAAAGCUUUCUCCAUUUUGGAGGACUUUGUUUAUUUUUUGUUCACGGAGAUAUUUUAAACAAUUCAGCCCCGUAAUCAAAGCAAAUUCCUGUAAGCCAAAACAAACUAGCUUACCGUUCACAGAAAACCAAAUUUCAUGUAAUUUUUUUUCAUUUUUUAUACGUCGCAGCAACAUAUAAUGAACCAUCUGUCCAUUAAAUUUAAAAUGUUCCGGCAUAUGCCUCAAGUAUCCGAAAUAUGUCUUCUUAAAAUCACAAUACAACUUUUGUUCAACAAAAACCUUUCUAAACUCUCGAUACACUGUAAUUCUUGCUCUCAUAGAAAUCUUUACAGGAAAAGAGCCAAGAUCAUCUAUCCAAGUUGUUAGGCCGUACGACUCAACGGAGAUAUCUCUCGAACAAAUUGGCAAGGAUAGGGGAUCCUCCUCCCUAUCUCCGAUAUCUCUCCUACUUUACCUCCCCGCUAUCACUUUCACUUUUUUUUUUCAUUUUCCGCUCGCUUUUACCUUCACUAUCCUCAGCAUCCUCACUCUCGUGUGCACUACUUUCAUCACAUUCGGAAAUAUCGGUAAGUAUUUUUUAUUUGAUUUUUGACUCCAAUUCAUCAACUAUGGGUUUUUUUCUCUUGGAAGUUUUCAAAACUUCUUCAACUUUUUGCUUCCUACAGGUAGAAGUAGUGGAAACAGGACUUUUAACUGCUCUAUGAACUCUUCUCACCAUUUAUGAUCUACAGGAAAAAUGAAUCUGUAGUGGUCAAUUUAUCGACCACUGAUCUAUUAAUAAAAACGAACAAAUGUAGAAAAAAUAAAUCUGCAGUGGCAGAUCUAUCGACCACUGAUCUAUUAAGAAAAAUGAAAAAUGCCUCACAUCAAACAUGCAAAUCAAGUUCCAACUUAACCAGAUAUUGGCAGUGCAAUUCACAACAACAAGAAUACCAUUAAAAUGGGUUUAAUUUAGCACAAAAAAUUCAAAAUCAAUACGCAAUAUAACUAUAAAAUUUUUAUAAAAAAAUUAAUCAUUAUCCGAAGCAAACCAUGAUUAAACAUGCAAAAUCGACAAUGCUAACUAAAAACACUCAAAUUUUGAUUAAUUCAACAAAGAACAGUGCAAUUUUUGUCAAAAUUGAAGAACCCCAACACAAAGCGUCAUCGAAAAAAAUUACUAAAAUGGAUCUAAAACUGUUUGAGGAAGAAAAUUAGACUUACCUGAGCAAGAGAAAUUAAAAAAUUUCACCUGAGAAAGCAAGAAUCGACCAAAUUUUUUUUUUUUUUAGAAAAUAGGAAUCAAAAUCGGGAGAAGGAAGGUUUUGAGGAGAAAGAAAUGUAGUUAAAAAUAUUAAAUAAUUUUAAUAAAUAUUUUGAAAAUAAAUAAAUAUAAAAAGGGACCAUUUUGUAGUUUUUAAAAAGUUAUAUUUUUUCCCCAAGUUUUAAAAAUGUUAAAGGAACCCAUGACCCCACAACCCUAACCCAUUUUUUACCUUUUUCAAGACCUAACCCUAAAAAAUAGAUUAAAAAGAAAUUUGGUGUCUAAACCUCAAAAUAAGUUUUGAAAGUGGGUAGGAAUCAAAAUUGUCUCCAGUAACUUGUGUAUAUCAGAAUUAGGCUUGCUCAUUCAUUCCUAAAUUUAAGAAAUCUUGUUUGCAUCUAUUAGUGAAACCUGAAACCUAUCUUCAUAUGCUUGGACCAGCUCAAGUAACAUGUUUCAUUCAUGUGUCAAUUUGUCAAUCAUCAAAACUACAUAGUACCCAACAAUACAUAGUAAUUGAUAGUACCCAACAAUACAUAGUAAUUGGUUGGUGGCUGACCCUAAUAAACCUUUGUAUAAAUAAUGAUUUCACCUUCUAUAUCACCUGGAUGAUUAAUAAGACCCCAUUUGCAUUAACAAGAUGAUGAAUCUAGUUUUGAGAUGCCCUAUUGUUCUGGCACGCAUGAAAAAAAGAAGUGGUAGUGUCACCUAAUUUCAACCAUUGUAACCUCGUUUUUUGCAUAGCAACACUUUCUUGGAUAGUGCCCCAUUUUUUCUAGUUCAACUUCAGAGUCUUCUCCUGUUCAGCCAAUUCAGAGUGGGAAGUUGCUAGCCUCAUUUAUGAUUGUCAAUUGGCUAGUUGCUCCUGAACUUGUUUUAUUUUAUCAGCUAAAAAAGGACAGUCCGGUGCACUAAAGCUAUUUCUAUGUGCGGUGGUAGGAGAAGGGCCCCACCACAAGGGUGUAUCGUACGCAGUCUUACCUUGCAUUUCUACCAGAGACUGUUUACAAGGCUUGAACCUACGACCUUCUGGUCACAUGGCAGUUAAAAGGCUUACCUUGUUUUAUUUUAUCAGCUAUUCCCACAAAUUCAUGUUUGUUAAGCUGCUUUAAUGCCUCAUUUACCCUUUUAAGUUUUCUCCAUAUUUGUAGCAUUAGUCCAGAUUUCUCAGGGGUAGACCAAACUUCUUGUAUCAAUGGUAAGAAUGUCGCAUGGUCAGCUAAUCAGUUAAGAAAUUUGAACGGCUAAAAUUCUAAGAUCAAGUUCAUCUCUCUCUCUCUAUGUAUAUAUAUAUAUACUAGUAUUAUCAUACGCGCCCCGUGCAUGUACCUCGUUUAAAGAAGUUCAGUUUUAUAAAAUCACUAUACCUCAUUUAAAGGAGUUAGUUUAUAAAAUCACUUUUGAUAUUUCAAUUAGUAAUUGUCUAUCAAAAAUACGUUAGUUUAUUUUGUAAGCAUACUAAAAUUUUAGAAAACUUAUAACAAAUCAUAGGAACAUCUGUCGCUACAAUCAUAGAUACUAUCAAUAUUUCAAAAAAAAAUUAUUAUGGACAUACUUUCAAAUGACUUCAAUGCACUAAUUGCAACAACUUCGAUAAUUGGGUCCAUUGCAACAGUAGGCUUAGAAAUUGAGUUAGCAUGACAAUAAUGCGCAAUUUAGAAGGAAAAAAAUUGAUGAAUUGAGUAGAUAACUGUACUUGAAUAUGUGAGUCGUUAUCGUAUAUUUAAUCAAGGAAGAACGUCAGUUACUAAUAGAUCCAACAAAGAAUACAAAUUAAGUCAAUUAAGAACAUAAACUCAAUUAAUAACACAAAAUAAACCAAUUAAGAAUGUAAGCUAAAUUGUUGGCAUAACAAUCAAUAUUGUGUUUAAAUCAUUAAUGAGCAAGCAACAAUCAAUAAUUAGAAAAAAAGUCUAGAUAUAACUCUUAACAUAUUUCUAAGUUCUUCAAUCAACUUUUCAUGUUUUAAAUGCAAUAUCUCAAUUUUUAUCAAGUAUAGAUAUAACAUAUUUUUCAGGAUUCUUGUCCAAUAACUAUCAAUUGCAAUUUAAUUUGGGGCUCAUUCCACUAUAAAUCUAAAAGGUACUAUACUUCUAGUCUAAUAAUAACUCAAAGGGCAGCAAUCGUUCAUGAUGGUUCCGAUUGUCAUAUUAAUUUUUUUUUGGUAAAAAUUAUGGACCAUAUAUAUUGAGACAAUCAAACAUAAGCAUGAAAAGUGAAAAUAUAGCCUGUAAACAUUUUCACCUAUUGGAUGAUCAUUACAAUAUUUGUUUUGAUUGUUACAUUAAUUUUAUCAUAUGUACAGUUAAAUCCAACGUUAGGUAACAUGAAAAAUUUCAUUAUGUGUAACAAUCAAUUUGGAUGUCUUACGUCGUUACUCAUUUUUUUAUUCUUAUUUUAUCUUUACUUAUUUUUUAAUAAUCUUAUUUAUCAUACAUUACCCUACCUUUUUAUAGUAGCUCUAUUAGUACACUAUUUUUUUUGUACGUUUAUUGUCUGAAUUAUUAAUGUAUGACAUUAUGUAAAGACGAAAAAUAAUACAAUAAAUCUAAAUAUUUUAUUCACUAAAAUAAUAUAUACAAUAUGACACAAUAUGGUGCAUUAUGAAACAAUAUGUCAUAACCAUCCAAAGAAAGUCUGAUAAACUAUAGAUGUCAACAUGGAUAUGCUUUAUAUUUGUUGGUGUGUGAAAACUAUGUUCUACAAUUCGGCGCACUAAAGCUUUUGCUAGGUGCGGGAUCCACGAUAACCAUCAAACAAAAGAAAAUAACCUUCAAACAAGAGCUAUUUAUUCGUAUGUCAGACUUACACAUUCACAAAUAUGCUUUCAAUAAAAUAUGUUCAUAUCAAAACUAUAAAUAAACAAAGGGUAUAUGUGCAUACCUCCAUUAAUCCAAAGAAGCAAAGGCAAUGAAUUUGAAUUCUCAGCUUUAGUAAAGUAAUAAUAUAAAGCACGACCAACAGAUUCAUUGGCAGUAACAUAUUCCCAUAUUAUUAAAACUUCACGGAUGAUUGUCCAGACUAUUUCUUGAUCCAAUCCUUUUCUUUUAGUCGUGUUGUGGAAGAAUAACUGUCUAAAUCUAGAUUCUCAAGGACUUCUUUAAAAUAGUUAUUUUCAAUAGAUGAAUCCCUCUUUUGCAUAGCUUUAUGAAAUAUAUUGCAUCCAAAUAAUGCAAAAUCAAAUCAGAUAACCAAAAAAAAAUCACAUAACCAAAAAAAAAAAAGCAAUAGCAAAUCACAUAACAAAAAAUAAAAAAUUCGACAAUAAAAAGUUAAGGAAUAAAGAUUAGUCGAUAAAACUAUAACUAUGAAAAGGAAAAUAAAUUAAACAUGUGAAGACGAUAUGUAACGUAAAUUAAUUGUACUAACCUGCUUGUUAACCAAAAAAGUUAAACUACUUAAAAAAAAGGUUAACAACAGAUUAAAUCACAACAUGAAAAAAAAUUGAUAUUAUUAUGCAUGAUGAUUUAUCAGAUGGCCGGUCACAAUAGAAAUUGCUUGUUAUUUAAUUAGUGUUGUUGGCUUGAAAUAAAAGAUUGUAAUAGUUGUUCCUUCCUUUGAUUGGAUAUUCUAUUUGGGAUUUUUGGGUUGUCCUCUUUUAGUUAGGAAUGAUUAAUUUUUUCAAAUGGUGGGAAAGGAAUAUUUUGUGAGAAAAGUUUUUUUUGUUUUGAAUAAUAUAGUCAAUAUUUAAUAUUACUAAAAUAAAAGAGAUAGGUAAAAAGACGAUUUUAUAUAAAGCGGAGAUUUUUAAUAAGGGUAAAAAGUUCAAAUAAUAUUUUCAAAGUCUUUCCCACUUUUAAUAUACUAGUUUAGGUGUACGCGCCUUGCGCGUGUACCUCACUUUAAUGAGUUCAAACAUUACAUUAAAUAGAAUAUUUGUUUAAAUAAUAAACAUGAAUAUAAUAAUUAAAUUUAAUAUCUUUUGAGUAUGUAAACAUGGAGAAUUUAUUUAUUAAACCUAAUCUUUACCAAAAAUAUUUUUAGAAGUCGAUCGACAUUCAUCUACCAUCUUUAAAUUGCAACAAAAUAAUAAAAUGAUAGAGACAUCAAAAUAAUACAGUUAAAUCUAAUCUUUACACAAAAAAUUUUUCUCAAAGUUGUCUGACACUCAUCUACCACCUAUAAAUAAUAACAACAUAGUACGAUAAUAGAGAUAUCAGAAUAAUACAACUAAACUUAACCUUUACAUACCAAAACUCCUCAAAGCCGACCAACAUUUAUCUAUCACCUGUAAACUGUAACAAAAUAAUACGAUAAAAGUGAUAUCAACACAAUACAAUUAAACUUAAAUUUGACACACAAAAAUUUCUCAAAGUCGAUCGAGAUUCAUCUACGAACUGUAAACUACUACAAAAUGACAAACUAAUAGAGAUAUCACGAUAAUACAAUUAAACCUAACCUUUACCUAAAAUAGUUUUUCAAAGCCGGCCAUACUCAUCGAGCAUCUGUAAAUUAAAAUAAAAUAAUAAGAUAAUAAAUAUAUCAAACAAUACAAUUAAACCUAACCUUUACACAUUAUUCAAAGCCAACCGACAUUCAUCUACGACCUGUAAACUAUAUAAAAAAAUAUAAUAGUGAUCACAAAGCUUCAAUUUUGAUCCAACUAAUUCUUGUCUGAGUGAAAAUUUUGACCCUAAAGAAUGAUUUUGAAUGAAAACAAAGAAGAUAUAUAUAUACACACACAUGUUAAAUUCUAUUAUGCCGACAACAACGGUGAAGAAGUUAAGGGUUUGAAAAUUAAGCAUCCACCGUCUAGACAUGUAAUCGAAUCAAGUUACAUGAGCAUCAGUCUUAUUCUCCCAAUAGGCAAACCGGUUUGUUCUCUAGUUUAAACAUACAUCACAAUAUUUAUAGAAGUAUUUUCUUAAUAGAGUCCUAUUUUAGGAGUAUUUUUCUAAUUGAACAGUAGAAAGGAUAAUAUUAAUUAAUUCUCCUACCAUAUAUUUUAGGAGUCCCAUAUAUUUUAAGAAGUCUAGUAGAAAGGAAAAUAUUAAUUAAUUCUNNNNNNNNNNNNNNNNNNNNNNNNNNNNNNNNNNNNNNNNNNNNNNNNNNNNNNNNNNNNNNNNNNNNNNNNNNNNNNNNNNNNNNNNNNNNNNNNNNNNNNNNNNNNNNNNNNNNNNNNNNNNNNNNNNNNNNNNNNNNNNNAUAUAUAUCUUUUUUAAUUAAACUAUAUAUUAAAUCCUAAUAUCUUAAAUAUAUACAAAUAUCAAAUAUUAAAAACUCACUAAUGGCUCAUUUCAAAAAGUCUUACAUAGUUUGUUUUCAUGGUUUCAUGAACGUGAUGCAUAUAACAUAUAGACCCAACUUUGUAACCAUGAAAGAUAAAUAGGUAACUGGCUGCUAAUCGAUUUUGACCUCCCCGGUUUCCAUUAUAUGUAAUGUUCUUCAUGGUAUCAGUCAUUUGUUUUCUUCUCCGGAUAUUGAAUUUGGUUUGAUCUUCUCCAUUCUGUUUUCUCCUAACUAUAUAUGUUGUACAUUUUUUUUUACGUUUUAAUUUUUAUCUAAACUUCGUGAAUGGGUCGGGGGAUCCUCCUUACAAGGACAAUAACCAGCAGUGCAAAGUAGAAGAAUAAUAAUAUUUUUUAUUUAUGGCCUCUUUCUUGCAAAGAUAGAACACUCAAAAUCAAAGCAAUGUUAGUUGUUACUAUAUCAAAUUCUUUAAACUAAUGAAAUUGGAACUGAAAAUCCUAUUAACUUCUGAAAAAAAAAAAGUAUCACUACUUUGCAAACAUAAUCAGAAAGUUCUCUUCACCCAAUUAUAACUAACAUUGAUAAACUCUAUUUGCUUUCUUAUAAUUAGUCGUAAAAGGAAAAAAUUAUAGCAUUGACAUUAGUGUUUAUAUCAAGUCAAAUUUUAUAAUCCCUUAACCUUUAUUUUCUUGUGAAUGCUUAUGCAUAUAUUCCCUCCGUUUCCAAUUACCCGUCCCAAAUUGAAAUGACACAAUUAUUAAGAAAAUAAUGAUUGGUAAUGUAACUUUAUCAUUUUACCCCUAUUAAUUGUGUCAUGUUGUUAGUUUCAAUAUUGGAGUUAUUAUAUGGAUGAUACCAAAUCAUUUUUCACAUGGAUAAUUAGGAUUGUACGAUUACCAAAGUCUUUGCAACAUUUUUCAAGAUUUGAUAAUUCAAUGCUAGUAACAAGGAGUAACCAAUUACUAAGGGUAUAAUGGGGGAAAAAAUUAUUUUGUCUUGAUUAAUGAAAAAAGACAAAUAAAAUGAGAAAUCAAAUUAAGAAAUUUGGGCCAAGUAAUUUAAGACGGAGGGAGUAAUAACCUAGAUCCAAUCGAUUCACAUAAUUAAUUAUGAAAUACUAAGCAAAACGAGACUUAUUCUAAGCUGAUAACAUUGUGCAUUCAUAAUAUUAUGAAUGCCUUUCAGAUUGAUAGCAAAACUAUAGUUGUUUCUUUUACUUUGUAUUUUUGUCGGCCACAAAUUUCUUUAAUUGUUUAUCUCAUAUUCAUGUUGUUUAGAUAUACAUAAGAAAAUAGAAAAAAAAAAAUUCUCUUUUCUAACAAAAUACUUAAAACACAAGUAAAGAUUUGUAAUU